rnacentral:lncRNA from 1 species
GCCUCUCCUUAAGCAAAAGCAUCAUCCAAGGUGAUCGUCUAAACAAGAACACUCCUUACGAUUCUGGAAAUGGACCAACACAGUAGUAGUGAAGCUAUGCGGGGAUCUUUCUGAAGCAGUUUAUCGCUUCUUGGAGACACCAACAGUCUUUCCUCUCCUGCCCCAGUAGUGACGCAGACCACGAUGGUUCCUGGGAAAGAGAGCAAGGUUUCAAGCAUAAGUGAUUGCUCAUACAUCUAUGCACUAAGUUAAAAUGCUACUGCAACAGUGAAGUUUUAAGGAAUCGGCCAUCAGGCAUCAACAUACAUCUAUUGGAAACAGAGCAUUGUUAUACAAAUCAGCUGGGUCACAUACAAGGUACACUAUAAAGGUAUAAAUGAAUACAUUGACAAUCAUCAAUACCAGAUUGCAAGACAUAACAAUUAUGUAUCUAAGCAAGUCGACAAUGGCAUAGGGCAGGAUAUAAAAUCUGGAUACGAGUAAUAGACAAACGAGUUCCAACAGAUUGACUGAAUUGAACUGCUAUAUAACCAACUUAGAGCUGGCAGAAGUUGUAGGUAAAUAAACAUCCAUAGAGCUAACAGUAGCAAAAGAUGACUUCGGUCUCUGCUUGACUAAUGAAUCAGUACAUCGUCAAGUGAAAAAUCAUGAAGAUCACACUAUGAUGUCCCUAACAACAGUAGAAGCUCAGAGGUGUGACAAUAUUUCGUAAUAUAUAAGCCUUGGCUACAACUUUCCGCUUAACAUGCAAAUAAAAAUCAACCACUUAUUGCUUAUUUCAUGCUUCAAUUUUUAUUUUCAGUUUUGUUAGGAUAAUCUGUAUGCAUAGGUACAGUCCUAUACUUGUUUGGGAAGUCAAGAUAUUCAUGUCAAGAAUUAUAUAGAGCCAAACAAUCAUUUAAGCAUAGAAGGCACGUCAUUUCUAUAUAUAACUAAAGCAUAUUCAGCAAGCUACCGAAGCCAACAACUAUGAUUACUUAAGAAGGAAAAUUGUCAUCAUAAGCCUAUAUUUCUUCUGGUUGCGCUCAUGCACCACGAAACAACUUUAAAAAUAUAGAACCAAUCCAGUACGGGAAAUUGAUAUGUAGUAGAGUUGCCUUAACUAAUAUAUUCUGCUAGCUAGUGUAAUGAGAUGGAUGCAAACUCAGAAUCUUUCUUAGCUUAAAUAAGAGAAGAUGGAAAAAAGAGCAGAGUCGAAGCAGGGGUUGAUUGGAAGAAGUAUCACUUUGUUGAAGCAAUGCGAGGCUUGGCUUGGGUGACUAGCAGGUCCAAUGCUGAAAUGUUAUUGAACAUGAGGAGCGACAGUGACAACCCCACUGAAGAAACCACAUAUAGUCCUUUGUUGCGGCAUCAGAAAACAUGUAAGUAGCGAGCACAUCAUCUUGUAAGUAUGAGGAAAACAAAAUUGUUACAAAAUUCAAUACAUACGAAAGAGAUAUGCAUCCUUGAGAGGCCAGGCAGACAGACACAGAAAUAGCCCGGCGUGUGUAUGCGUCUAUGUAAUGUAUAACAAGAAAAUAGCAGGGGCGGAUGUAUCUGUACUUGUGCAUUGCAAAUGCAGAUGUGCAGACUGAAUUUUGUUCAGAGUAAAUACAUACAGACAGAUAGACGGUAAAUAAUACUAGAUUGGAUGGGAUCGACCACGAGAGUAGUUGAUUCAUUCUGUUGUAAUAUAUUAGCUAGUGUAAUAUAUGAGACUGUCAACCAUCGAAUUACAAAAGAAACAACAUGAAAUUGUUGUUAUGGCCAAGCAGAAGAAAUAUCCUACUAAUAAACAGUGAUAUAUCAGGAGAAUUAUUAAAGCAUAGAAUUAUCCACAAUGGCCAUAUGAAUACAGGCAUCUACAAUGGCUAGGAGGAUCAGAAUACUGGCUUGGUUUCUCUGAAGAGAAAUAAUAGAGCUCAGCAUGUUCAUUGCCAAUCAUCAGGAAAAGGAUCAUCAUAUCCUCCAAAUCGAAUGGCACAUUGAAAACAAAUAGAAUGUUGUAGUAAAUCUAGCACAGAGAAACCUACAUCUGUUUGGAGAAUUUGAGAAUUACUAUGACUCAUACUCGAUGGCCAUAUGAAUAGAUCCACUAGUAAUCAGUUUUCACCGCAUAAUGGGCAUAUCAAAACAUUAAAAAAUACAUCCAUGGUGCCAAAGAAAGAUAACAAACUACAAAACAGUAGCAAGCAAUAAAGAACAAAUAUCUGUACUACUGGGCAGAUCAGAGUCCUGGCUUGGUUUCUCCUAAAGAGAAAUUAUAGCGCUCAGCAUGUUCAUUGUCGAUCAUCUGGGGAAAGGAUCAUCAUCUCCACCAAAGUAGUACAUGUCCGUCAAGAAAUUUGUAGAUCAUAGCUUAGGCUGAGCUAGUUAAUUGUUUAUCAUCUAGGUAAAGGAUCAUCCUUAUCUAGUUCAAACCAAGAUAGGUACAGCAUAUAAAAUGUAAAGAAAAAUAAAGAUAAAAUAUAUCAACACAAUGGCACAUCUUAAAAGCAUGAGAUAAUUUUGGAGGUACUAACGAAAUUUCAAGCACCUAAUUGGAGUACAACACAAAACAGAACAGAAUGCAAGUACUAACACCACAUGACAAAAGUACUAAGGCACUCCUUGCUACUUAAAACCAAAUCAAGGUACAGAGCACAGCCAGGCCAAUAGUUCAGCAGCGGUGCAGUACGGUCUUGCUGCUGUUGUCAAGUGCCAUGGGUAAAUGUCAAGAAGAAUGUUAUUGUAGCCAUUACAUCUGACAAGGGUCUCUGUGAUGGUAUCAAUUCUACAUCUGUUAAAGUCAGCAAAGCACUCCAGAAGAUGACUUCUGGUAAUUUGGUUCAUGGUUUUCUUCUGUUAUUUAUAUGGCUUGUACUCAGAACUAUGGCUCAUAACUCUAGUAAUCAGGCCAGAGAAAGAAAGCAAGUAUGUCAUCUUAGGAGAAAAGGGGAGAGUUCAACUCAUCCGUGACUCCAACCUGUCGAUCAGAGCAAAGGCAGCUGGCCUAAUAUAUCUCGAGAUACAAAUGGAGGCGCAGCGAACAGAUCUCGCGAUGCAGCGAGGGGAAGGGAGAGGUGGGACGGAGGGGAUCUUACAGAAGAGGAUGAGGCCCCCGAAGCCGGUGAGGGGCAUAGGCGAUGACGGAUGGAGAGGUCGAGGCAGGCAUCCCACAUGGCGUCCAAGUCAUGGUGGGCGGGGAUGGCCUCGGCGCCGGCGCCGGGGCGGGAGCGGCAGGUGGCACGGGCGCGGGUGGAGCAGCGCCGGAGUUGUCGCAGGCGCGAGGUAGCAGGUCGCGGGUGCGGCCCCGUAGAGCGAGACUCUCCUGGCCGUGGCGGCGCGGCCCCUCGGCGCCGCGGAGGCGGCUGAGAAGGAGGGGAACGCCGCCGAGGAGGCAGUGGUGAGGGCGGGGGAGGCGGAGGCCUUGAGCGCGAACACCAUGGGUGUGAGGGAGGGGAGGGAGGAAGGGGUUGACGGCGGCGGCAGCGGUGUGCGCGCGGGGUUGGAUUGAAUUGCGCCAGGGUGAGGGGAGGGCGCGGUGGUGUGCGGCGGCGGCGUGGGUCGUCGACGGUGAGGGUGGGGCGUCGGCUGCGGGAGUGGAUGGGAGGGGUGGGGAGGGAUCUGGAUCUGGAUGGGGGAGGAGGGCGGCGGAGGAGGGAUUUGGAUCGGGGAGAGGGGGACACCAGCUCCCUAGGGUUUCUCGGGAAGGAGGGGAUCGAGAGACGCUGGAUCAGCAGGAGGACGGAUCAGAUCGAAUAAAGGGGGUGAUCCGUGCGUCUUGAUUGGUUCAAAAAAUGAGCUAUUAAAGAUUACUCCUCUUAGUGCUAAAAACAGGGGGGUUGACGCAGCUACCCAAAAUAUUUCACAAAAUGGCAUCACUAAGAUUUUUACUUAAGUUAGACCACCUUUCAUGGAUGAUUACCAAUUUGAUUGCAUUUUCGAUCUUUCUAGCUAUUUUGUGAAACAGCCAAUUCGGUAAGAAGCGGGUCAAAUUUGAACUACACUAGAUGAUACCACACACGUUGUUGCGGGAAUGUUUUGCAAUAUAUUCAGUUAGAAUUGGUUGUAUGGAACAUGAAUAUUUGAAUAAUAUAUAAUAUGAGAAGCUGGAAAUAAAUAUGAUAUGUGGUGUUUGAUUAUUGUAUAAUGUAAAUAUCAUAAUAGAAUGUAAAUUCUCAUGCAUGUUUGCAUGUUGAGGUGGUUUUUAUUAUGCAUGAUUGCAUGUUGUGGUGGACCUUCCUCCAUGCAUAUUGAAUGAUAAGGUGGCAUACUUGCAUGUUGAGAGAAAUAGGCUAGUGGGGGCUAGCUAUUUAGAUAUAGAAGAUGUGUUUUAUAGUUUUCUAUUUAUUUUUUUCAAAAAACAUUUUUAGUUACAAAAGUAGCUAUUUCAUCAUGGACAAACCAAGAGUUUUGCAUUAUUAAGCACCUAACUAAGAACGGUCGCGCGGUCAAAUUUGAUAACAUUUUGAAAGUUCUCAAACAAUGUUGGAUAAGGAAGUUCUCAUUUUCUUUACACGGAAAAUUCAUUUUCCAUUUUUCCGAGUGCCCGAAUUGAGUUUUUUCGUGAAGGACCUACCAUAUAUUUGUUUAAAAUUUGGACCAAAUCAAUUUCUAAAAUACUAGGCCAUAUUUAAUUCACAAUUGACCAAAUGAUUGGGUGUCAAAAGCCUUGAUCCACCUCUGGUAAAAAAGACAAAUUCCUGCCGAUUCAGCAGGAAGCGGGUCAAAUUUGAACUGCAGCUGCCUCAUAGUUUGCUCUUAUUUUUUCCAAAAAUCUUUUCUAGGUACAUAAAUAUCUAUUUAAUCAGAGAAACAUCAAAAGUUUUCCAAGAUUCAACCACUAGCUAGGAACGGUCAAACCCGUCGUUUUGAUCGCAUUUCGAAACGGGCAUAAAAAAUUAAAAAAAUAAAAAAUUGGAAAACCUUCGCAUUGUGUCAUUAUAUGUGACCAAGUUUCCAGGAAAAAUAAUAAACUUAUAAUACGACAAUUAUUCUAAAAAAGUGUUCUCAGAAAUGAGCUAUCAUGCGUGAAGAUUCAGGGUUUUCAAGCCAAAUGAUCAAUCUUAUGGCCACAUUCAUGGCAUAGUUUGUUCAAAUGAUCUCAUAUGGUGCACAAGGGUGCAUCUUGGAAUUCCAAACAAUGUUGCCUAAGGGAGUUUUCAUUUUUUUUGCACGGAAAAUUCAUUUUCCAUUUUUCGAGUGCCCGAAUUGAGUUUUUUUGUGAAGGACCUACCAUAUAUUUGUUGCAAAAUUGGACCAAAUCAAUUUUAUAAAAUACUAGGCCAUAUUUAAUCAGAAAUACAUGGUUUGGUGGCGAUACAUCGAGGUUUGGACGCUAGCCGAGGGGCCCAACUCCAAAGCGCGUAAAUUCACAUGCCCGCCGCGUGUUCACCACGUGACUGUGGCGUUAACAUGCGUUUUGGGUGGCCUAGGCAUGUCUAGUGGGUUGGGCACUCCCCAGGUAGGUCUAGGAAUAAAAUUACACCAGAAGUUUCUCGCAAGGAGGCCGAACUAUGCUCAAAUAAAAAUUAGCAGCCAAGUGUUUGAUUAGCGGUACGAGAAAUGCACAUGGCCAAUUGGCGUGUGUUUUGGCUGAGGACGAUCACCUACUAAGAAGACUGUCUUCACAAAUUUUCAGCUCAAAAGGAGGAGCCUAGGUGGUACUUGCUUUGCAAAGUACCACAUUGGACAAAAAUAUGAAUGUUGAAGCUGGGCUCAAAAUAAUGAAUGGAUUGAGCUGAAAUUUGGUGGAGAAUGGUUAUUUGGGCAUAGGAAAACACUGUAGAAAAUCGAUGCUAUUUGUACAUGCCAAAGUGGUACUUCCUUCACAAUGCUCUUCUCUAGACAGAAACUUGGGAAAAUUAGCGAGAGAAAUUGGAUAAAUGAAAUGAUCUCACAUUUGGUGUAGGUAAGUUACAUAGGCAUGGCCUUGCACUGGUAAAUUUUUAGAUCAUUUGGGUAAGCCUAGCUAGUACUUACUUCACAAAGCUUCUCUCGAGAUAUAAACUUUGGAAAUUUCCUGAGAAAGAUUUACCAGGAAAAUGGAGUUUACUAUUAUCACGUGGCAAUGAUUUGGGUAUGGAAGAGUGCCCAAAAAGUUUGAGGGUAAUAGGAGGGGUCUAGAUAACACUUGCUUUGCAACGUGCCAAUCUGGCCAUAAAAUAUAAAUUGAACCUGGGCUCACAUAGAUGAUUUGACUAAGCUGCAAUUUGGAGGAGGGUGAUAAUUUGGUCAUAUGAAGGAACUUUACAAAUUUCAUGUCAUUUGGAUAUAUAAAAAUGGUACUUCCUUCACAAUGCUUCUAGGUGGACAAAAACUUUGGAAAUUUGCCAAGGAAGAUUUACUCAGCAAAUGGAGGUAAAUUUUGUCAUGAGGCAAUGAUUUGGAUAGGAAAGAGUGCCCAAAAAUUUUGAGGGCAAUCAAGAAUAUAUAAAUAGCACUUCCUUCACAAAGUGUUGUUCUGAACAGAAUAGGAAAAUGAAUAUUGUUGAAUUAUUUUUGAACUAGGCAAGGAAGGAUUUUUACAUAUUUGACGAAGAUAUGACCCAAAGAAUUUAUGAGAUUUUUUUGGGAAUUUUGGGAAUGACAGAAAUAUAGGUUGCUUCACAACCUAGGGCAAAAAUUGACACAUAGGCAAAACUGAUGAGGUGGCGCCUAGUCAUAGCAAUCCACCACAAUUUACAAGGUUAUGACCAUCUAUAUUGGUCGUGAUCACUGAUCAGCUAGAAAUAAGGCAGCAGAGCAAUGAUGUCUGCUUUCUGACCAUUUCGUGUAAGGAAAUUGCGACAUAUCUGACCAAAAUGGUCGUUAUAGUCUAGGGUUUGGAGCCACCCGAACAGCUUUUGACCAAUUGAUCUCAAAUGGUCGUAGAUCUAUGACCAAUUCUUUCAGGGUCACUGAUAGAAGGUCACUAGUUGACAUAUUUCUUGUAGUGGGUGCCCUAGUGUUUGAAAUUCAUUCCCAUUUCUUGCAUAGGACCUAAGCAUGCACCCAAGGACAUAGAUUUGAUUUUUCGACCAAUUUAUAUGCACUAGAGCAUGUGCAUGUAGUUCAAAUUUGAAUUAUGCACAUAAAUGCAUUGAAAACUCAGUUAAUGCAUAAAAAUGUCCAAACGACCCCUGAAAAAUCCCAAAAAUUGACACAACACUCCUAUUGUUCCAUGUUGACACGAGAAAUUUUUUGAAAGCAAUAAGAGGCAAUGGAUAUCGUUUGUCCCCAAAGGUGGGACGUUCCCUACUGAAACCAUCAUGCUUGUUGUGAGAAGCACUGGUUUGUGAGAAGCAUAUACCUGAACCUGCCCCAAAUGGGACAAUUUUUUUAACACGAUACGUUGAUGCUGCUCCAUGAUAGCAUGCCAAGUUUCAUGAAUUUCAGACGAGUUUUGGAUUUACUAGAAUUUAAAAACCAGGCAUCUCGAAUGUUUUGCCGGCAAUCAACGGUGCCCUGGUGUUUGAAAUUCAUUCUCAUUUCUUGCAUGGGACCUAAUCAUGCACUUAAGGACACAGAUUUGAUUUUUCAACCAAUUUAUAUGCACUGGAGCAUGUGCAUGUAGUUCAAAUUUCAAUUAUGCGCAUAAAUGCAUUGAAAACUUAGUUAAUGCAUAAAAAUGAACAAAAGAACCCCGAAAAAUCACAAAAAUUGACACAACACUCUUGUUGUUAUAUGUUGACACGAGAAAAAAUUUGGAAGCAAUAAGAGGCUGUGGAUAUCGUUUCAUCCCCAAAGGUGGGACGUUCCCUACCGAAACCAUGAUGAUUGUUGUGAGAAGCUCUGGUUUGUUAGAAGCAUAUACCCAAACCUGCCCCAAACGGGACAAAAAUUUUACCACGGCAUGUUGAUGUCGCUCCAUGAAAGCAUGCCAAGUUUCAUGAAUUUCAGACGAGUUUUGGAUUUACUAGAAUUUAAAAACCAGGCAUCUCAAUGUUUUGUCGGCAAUCAACGAUGCCCUGGUGUUUGAAAUUCAUUCUCAUUUCUUGCAUAGGACCUAAGCAUGCACCCAAGGACACAGAUUUGAUUUUUCAACCAAUUUAUAUGCACUGGAGCAUGUGCAUGUAGUUCAAAUUUGAAUUAUGCAGAUAAAUGCAUUGAAAACUCAGUUAAUGCAUAAAAAUGUCCAAACGAACCCCGAAAAUACCAAAAAUUGACACAACACUCCUGUUGUUCUAUGUUGACAUGAAAAAAAAAUUGAAAGCAAUAAGAGGCAAUGAAUAUCGUUUUGUCCCCAAAGGUGGGACGUUCCCAACCGAAACCAUCAUGCUUGUUGUGAGAAGCUCUGGUUUGUGAGAAUCAUAUACCUGAACCUGCCCCAAAUGGGACAAAUUUUUUAACACGACAUGUUGAUGCCGCUCCAUGAUAGCAUGCCAAGUUUCAUGAAUUUCAGACGAGUUUUGGGUUUAGUAGAAUUUGAAAACCAGGCAUCUCAACGUUUUGCCGGCAAUCAACAGUGCCCUGGUGUUUGAAUUGUUGGAAAUAUGCCCUAGAGGCAAUAAUAAAAGGAUUAUUAUUAUAUUUCCUUGUUCAUGAUAAUUGUCUUUUAUCCAUGCUAUAGUUGUGUUAUCCGGAAAUCGUAAUACAUGUGUGAAUAACAGACACCAACAUGUCCCUAGUAAGCCUCUAGUUGACUAGCUCGUUGAUCAACAGAUAGUCAUGAUUUCCUGACUAUGGACAUUGGAUGUCAUUGAUAACGAGAUCACAUCAUUAGGAGAAUGAUGUGAUGGACAAGACCCAAUCCUAAACAUAGCACAAGAUCGUGUAGUUCGUUUGCUAGAGUUUUUCCAAUGUCAAGUAUCCUUUCCUUAGACCAUGAGAUCGUGUAACUCCCGGAUACCGUAGGAGUGCUUUGGGUAUACCAAACGUCACAACGUAACUGGGUGACUAUAAAGGUAUACUACGGGUAUCUCCGAAAGUAUCUGUUGAGUUGACACAGAUCAAGACUGGGAUUUGUCACUCCGUAUGACGGAGAGGUAUCACUGGGCCCACUCGGUAAUGCAUCAUCAUUAUGAGCUCAAAGUGACCAAGUGUCUGGUCAUGGGAUCAUGCAUUACGGUACGAGUAAAGUGACUUGUCGGUAACGAGAUUGAACGAGGUAUUAGGAUACCGACGAUCGAAUCUCAGGCAAGUAACAUACCGAUUGACAAAGGGAAUUGUAUACGGGGUUGCUUGAAUCCUCGACAUCGUGGUUCAUCCGAUGAGAUCAUCGAGGAGCAUGUGGGAGCCAACAUGGGUAUCCAGUCCCGCUGUUGGUUAUUGACCGGGGAGCGAUCUCGGUCAUGUCUACAUGUCUCCCGAACACGUAGGGUCUACACACUUAAGGUUCGGUGAUGCUAGGGUUGUAGGGAUAUGUAUAUGCAGUAACCCGAAUGUUGUUCGGAGUCCCGGAUGAGAUCCCGGACGUCGCGAGGAGUUCCGGAAUGGUCCGGAGGUAAAGAGUUAUAUAUAGGAAGUGCCUUUUCGGCUAUCGGGACAAGUUUCGGGGUCACCGGUAUUGUACCGGGACCACCGGAAGGGUCCCGGGGGUCCACCGGGUGGGGCCACCUAUCUCGGAGGGCCCCAUGGGCUGAAGUGGGGAGGGGAACCAGCCCUUAGUGGGCUGGUGUGCCCCCCAAGGCCCACCCCUUGCGCCUAGGGUUGAAACCCUNNNNNNNNNNNNNNNNNNNNNNNNNNNNNNNNNNNNNNNNNNNNNNNNNNNNNNNNNNNNNNNNNNNNNNNNNNNNNNNNNNNNNNNNNNNNNNNNNNNNNNNNNNNNNNNNNNNNNNNNNNNNNNNNNNNNNNNNNNNNNNNNNNNNNNNNNNNNNNNNNNNNNNNNNNNNNNNNNNNNNNNNNNNNNNNNNNNNNNNNNNNNNNNNAGGAGAUUGCAUCUCCUAGGGCCGCCGCCCCCCCUAGGCCCCCUAUAUAUAGUGGGGGAGGGAGGGCCUCUAACAAACGCCUUUGGUGCCUCCCUCUCCCUCUCCAACACCCCCUCCUCCUCCAUAGAGCUUGGGGAAGCCCUGACGGAGUACUGCAGCUCCACCACCACCACGCCGUCGUGCUGCUCUUGGAGCCAUCUUCCUCAACCUCUCCUUCCCCUUGCUAGAUCAAGAAGGAGGAGGCGUUACGCUGACCGUACGUGUGUUGAACGCGGAGGUGCCGUCCGUUCGGCGCUAGGAUAUCCGGUGAUUUGGAUCACGUCGAGCACGACUUCCUCAUCCCCGUUCUUUGAACGCUUCCGCGCAUGAUCUACAAAGGUAUGUAGAUGCAAUCCAAUCACUCGUUGCUAGAUGAACUCUCAUAGAUGGAUCUUGGUGAAACCGUAGGAAUUUUUUUUGUUUUCUGCAACGUUCCCCAACAGUGGCAUCAUGAGCUAGGUCUAUGCGUAGUUCUUCUUGCGCGAGUAGAACACAAUUUGUUGUGGGCGUAGAUGUUGUCAACUUUCUUGCCGCUACUAGUCUUAUCUUGCUUCAACGGUAUUGUGGGAUGAAGCGGCCCGGACCAACCUUACACGUACGCUUAUGUGAGACCGGUUCCACCGACUAACAUGCACUAGUUGCAUAAGGUGGCUGGCGGGUGUCUGUCUCUCCCACUUUAGUUGGAGCGGAUUCGAUGAAAAGGGUCCUUAUGAAGGGUAAAUAGAAGUUGACAAAUCACGUUGUGGCUUUCACGUAGGUAAGAAAACGUUCUUGCUAGAACCCUCUUGCAGCCACGUAAAACUUGCAAUAACAAUUAGAGGACGUCUAACUUGUUUUUGCAGCAAGUGCUUUGUGAUAUGAUAUGGCCAAAGUUGUGAUGAAUGAUGAAUGAUAUAUAUAUGUGAUGUAUGAGAUCAUGUUCUUGUAAUAGGAAUCACGACUUGCAUGUCGAUGAGUAUGACAACCGGCAGGAGCCAUAGGGGUUGUCUUUAUUUUUUGUAUGACAUGCGUGUCAUUGAGAAACGCCAUGUAAAUUACUUUACUUUAUUGCUAAACGUGUUAGCCAUAGUAGUAGAAGUAAUAGUUGGCGAGCAACUUCAUGGAGACACGAUGAUGGAGAUCAUGAUGAUGGAGAUCAUGGUGUCAUGCCGGUGACAGGAUGAUCAUGGAGCCCCAAGAUGGAGAUCAAAGGAGCUAUGUGAUAUUGGCCAUAUCAUGUCACUAUUAUUGUUUGAUUGCAUGUGAUGUUUAUCAUGUUUUGCAUCUUGUUUACUUAGAACGACGGUAGUAAAUAAGAUGAUCCCUCAUAAUAAUUUCAAGAAAGUGUUCCCCCUAACUGUGCACCGUUGCGACAGUUCGUUGUUUCGAAGCACCACGUGAUGAUCGGGUGUUAGAUUCCAACAUUCACAUACAACGGGUGUAAGACAGAUUUACACAUGCAAACACUUAGGUUGACUUGACGAGCCUAGCAUGUACAAACAUGGCCUCAGAACACAGAAGACCGAAAGGUUGAGCAUGAGUCAUAUAGAAGAUACGAUCAACAUGAAGAUGUUCACCGAUGUUGACUAGUCCGUCUCACGUGAUGAUCGGACACGGCCUAGUUAACUCAGAUCAUGUUAUACUUAGAUAACUGGAGGGAUGUCUAUCUAAGUGGGAGUUCAUUAAAUAUUUUGAUUAGAUGAACUUAAUUAUCAUGAACUUAGUCUAAAAUAUUUACAAUAUGUCUUGUAGAUCAAAUGGCCAACGUAGUCCUCAACUUCAACGCGUUCCUAGAGAAAACCAAGCUGAAAGACGAUGGCAGCAACUAUACGGACUGGGUCCGGAACCUGAGGAUCAUCCUCAUAGCUGCCAAGAAAGAAUAUGUACUACAAGCACCGCUAGGUGACGCACCCGUCCCACAGAACCAAGACGUUAUGAACGCUUGGCAGACACGUGCUGAUGACUACUCCCUCGUUCAGUGCGGCAUGCUUUACAGCUUAGAGCCGGGGCUCCAAAAGCGUUUUGAGAGACAUGGAGCAUAUGAGAUGUUCGAAGAGCUGAAAAUGGUUUUUCAAGCUCAUGCCCGGGUCGAGAGAUAUGAAGUCUCCGACAAAUUCUUCAGCUGUAAGAUGGAGGAAAAUAGUUCUGUCAGUGAGCACAUACUCACUAUGUCUGGGUUACAUAACCGCUUGACUCAGCUGGGAGUUAAUCUCCUGGAUGAUGCAGUCAUUGACAGAAUCCUCCAGUCGCUUCCACCAAGCUACAAGAGCUUUGUGAUGAACUUCAAUAUGCAGGGGAUGGAAAAGACCAUUCCUGAGUUAUUUUCAAUGCUGAAAUCAGCAGAGGUAGAAGUCAAGAAGGAACAUCAAGUGUUGAUGGUGAAUAAGACCACUAAGUUCAAGAAGGGCAAGGGUAAAAAGAACUUCAAGAAGGACAGCAAGGGAGUUGCCGCGCCCGGAAAGCAAGCUGCCGGGAAGAAGCCAAAGAAUGGACCCAAGCCCGAGACUGAGUGCUUUUAUUGCAAGGGAAGUGGUCACUGGAAGCGGAACUGCCUCAAAUACUUAGCGGACAAGAAGGCCGGCAAAACAAAAGGUAUAUGUGAUAUACAUGUAAUUGAUGUGUACCUUACCAGUACUCGUAGUAGCUCCUGGGUAUUUGAUACCGGUGCAGUUGCUCACAUUUGUAACUCAAAGCAGGAGCUGCGGAAUAAGCGGAGACUGGCAAAGGACGAGGUGACGAUGCGCGUCGGGAAUGGUUCCAAGGUCAAUGUGAUCGCCGUCGGCACGCUACCUCUACAUUUACCUUCGGGAUUAGUUUUAAACCUUAAUAAUUGUUAUUUAGUGCCAGCUUUGAGCAUGAACAUUGUAUCGGGAUCUCGUUUAAUUCGAGAUGGCUACUCAUUUAAAUCCGAGAAUAAUGGUUGUUCUAUUUAUAUGAGAGAUAUGUUUUAUGGUCAUGCUCCUAUGGUGAAUGGUUUAUUCUUAAUGAAUCUCGAGCGUAAUGCUACACAUAUUCAUGGUGUGAAUGCCAAAAGAUGUAAGGUUGAUAAUGAUAGUCCCACAUACUUGUGGCACUGCCGCCUUGGUCACAUAGGUGUCAAACGCAUGAAGAAGCUCCAUACAGAUGGACUUUUAGAGUCUCUUGAUUAUGAAUCAUUUGACAUGUGCGAACCAUGCCUCAUGGGUAAGAUGACCAAGACUCCGUUCUCAGGAACGAUGGAGCGAGCAACCAACCUAUUGGAAAUCAUACAUACCGAUGUGUGCGGUCCAAUGAGCGUUGAGGCUCGUGGUGCCUAUCGUUAUGUUCUCACCCUCACUGAUGACUUGAGUAGAUAUGGGUAUAUCUACUUAAUGAAACACAAGUCUGAAACCUUUGAAAAGUUCAAGGAAUUUCAGAGUGAGGUUGAGAAUCAACGUGACAGAAAAAUCAAGUUUUUGCGAUCAGAUCGUGGAGGAGAAUACUUGAGUCACGAAUUUGGUACACACUUAAGAAAAUGUGGAAUAGUUUCACAACUCACGCCGCCUGGAACACCUCAGCGUAAUGGUGUGUCCGAACGUCGUAAUCGCACUCUAUUAAAUAUGGUGCGAUCUAUGAUGUCUCUUACCGAUUUACCGCUGUCAUUUUGGGGCUAUGCUUUAGAGACUGCCGCAUUCACUUUAAAUAGGGCUCCGUCGAAAUCCGUUGAGACGACACCGUAUGAAUUAUGGUUUGGAAAGAAACCUAAGCUGUCGUUUCUAAAAGUUUGGGGAUGCGAUGCUUAUGUCAAGAAACUUCAACCUGAAAAGCUCGAACCCAAGUCAGAAAAAUGCGUCUUCAUAGGAUACCCUAAAGAAACUAUUGGGUAUACCUUCUACCUCAGAUCCGAAGGCAAGAUCUUUGUUGCCAAGAAUGGAUCCUUUCUAGAGAAGGAGUUUCUCUCGAAAGAAGUAAGUAGGAGGAAAGUAGAACUUGAUGAAGUAUUACCUCUUGAACCGAAAAAUGGCGCAACUCAAGAAAAUGUUCCUGAGGUGCCUGCACCGACUAGAGAGGAAGUUAAUGAUGAUGAUCAAGAUACUUCUGAUCAAGCUCCUACUGGAAUUCAUAGGUCCACAAGGACACGUUCCGCACCAGAGUGGUUCGGCAACCCUGUCUUGGAAAUCAUGUUGUUAGACAACGGUGAACCUUCGAACUAUGAAGAAGCGAUGGCGGGCCCAGAUUCCGACAAAUGGCUGGAAGCCAUGAAAUCCGAGUUAGGAUCCAUGUAUGAAAACGAAGUAUGGACUUUGACUGACUUGCCCGAUGAUAGGCGAGCCAUAGAAAAUAAAUGGAUCUUUAAGAAGAAGACAGACGCGGAUGGUAAUGUGACCAUCCAUAAAGCUCGGCUUGUCGCUAAGGGUUAUCGACAAGUUCAAGGGGUUGACUACGAUGAGACUUUCUCACCGGUAGCGAAGCUGAAGUCCGUCCGAAUUAUGUUAGCAAUUGUCGCAUACUAUGAUUAUGAGAUAUGGCAAAUGGACGUCAAAACAGCAUUCCUUAAUGGUUUCCUUAAGGAAGAAUUGUAUAUGAUGCAGCCGGAAGGUUUUGUCGAUCCUAAGAAUGCUGACAAGGUGUGCAAGCUCCAACGCUCGAUUUAUGGGCUGGUGCAAGCAUCUCGGAGUUGGAACAUUCGCAUUGAUGAGAUGAUCAAAGCGUUUGGGUUUACACAGACUUAUGGAGAAGCCUGCGUUUACAAGAAAGUGAGUGGGAGCUCUGUAGCAUUUCUCAUAUUAUAUGUAGAUGACAUACUUUUGAUGGGAAAUGAUAUAGAACUCUUGGACAGCAUUAAGGCCUACUUGAAUAAGAGUUUUUCAAUGAAGGACCUUGGAGAAGCUGCUUAUAUAUUAGGCAUCAAGAUCUAUAGAGAUAGAUCGAGACGCCUCAUAGGUCUUUCACAAAGCACAUACCUUGAUAAGAUAUUGAAGAAGUUCAAUAUGGAUCAGUCUAAGAAGGGGUUCUUACCUGUGUUACAAGGUGUGAAAUUGAGCUCAGCUCAAUGUCCGACCACGGCAGAAGAUAUAGAAGAGAUGAGUGUCAUCCCCUAUGCCUCAGCCAUAGGUUUUAUUAUGUAUGCCAUGCUGUGUACCAGACCUGAUGUAAACCUUGCCGUAAGUUUGGUAGGAAGGUACCAAAGUAAUCCCGGCAAGGAACACUGGACAGCGGUCAAGAAUAUCCUGAAGUACCUGAAAAGGACUAAGGAAAUGUUUCUCGUUUAUGGAGGUGACGAAGAGCUCGUCGUAAAGGGUUACGUCGACACUAGCUUCGACACAGAUCUGGAUGACUCUAAGUCACAAACCGGAUACGUGUAUAUUUUGAAUGGUGGGGCAGUAAGCUGGUGCAGUUGCAAGCAGAGCGUCGUGGCGGGAUCUACAUGUGAAGCGGAGUACAUGGCAGCCUCGGAGGCAGCACAUGAAGCAAUUUGGGUGAAGGAGUGCAUCACCGACCUAGGAGUCAUACCCAAUGCGUCGGGGCCGAUCAAGCUCUUCUGUGACAACACUGGAGCUAUUGCACUUGCCAAGGAGCCCAGGUUUCACAAGAAGACAAGGCACAUCAAGCGUCGCUUCAACUCCAUUCGUGAAAAUGUUCAAGAUGGAGACAUAGAUAUUUGUAAAGUACAUACGGACCUGAAUGUAGCAGAUCCGUUGACUAAACCUCUCCCUAGAGCAAAACAUGAUCAACACCAGAAUUCCAUGGGUGUUCGAUUCAUCACAAUGUAACUAGAUUAUUGACUCUAGUGCAAGUGGGAGACUGUUGGAAAUAUGCCCUAGAGGCAAUAAUAAUAGGAUUAUUAUUAUAUUUCCUUAUUCAUGAUAAUUGUCUUUUAUUCAUGCUAUAAUUGUGUUAUCCGGAAAUCGUAAUACAUGUGUGAAUAACAGACACCAACAUGUCCCUAGUAAGCCUCUAGUUGACUAGCUCGUUGAUCAACAGAUAGUCAUGAUUUCCUGACUAUGGACAUUGGAUGUCAUUGAUAACGAGAUCACAUCAUUAGGAGAAUGAUGUGAUGGACAAGACCCAAUCCUAAACAUAACACAAGAUCGUGUAGUUCGUUUGCUAGAGUUUUUCCAAUGUCAAGUAUCCUUUCCUUAGACCAUGAGAUCGUGUAACUCCCGGAUACCGUAGGAGUGCUUUGGGUAUACCAAACGUCACAACGUAACUGGGUGACUAUAAAGGUAUACUACGGGUAUCUCCAAAAGUGUCUGUUGAGUUGACACGGAUCAAGACUGGGAUUUGUCACUCCGUAUGACGGAGAGGUAUCACUGGGCCCACUCGGUAAUGCAUCAUCAUUAUGAGCUCAAAGUGACCAAGUGUCCGGUCACGGGAUCAUGCAUUACGGUACGAGUAAAGUGACUUGCCGGUAACGAGAUUGAACAAGGUAUUGGGAUACCGACGAUCGAAUCUCGGGCAAGUAACAUACCGAUUGACAAAGGGAAUUUUAUACGGGGUUGCUUGAAUCCUCGACAUCGUGGUUCAUCCGAUGAGAUCAUCGAGGAGCAUGUGGGAGCCAACAUGGGUAUCUAGAUCCCGCUGUUGGUUAUUGACCGGAGAGCGAUCUCGGUCAUGUCUACAUGUCUCCCGAACUCGUAGGGUCUACACACUUAAGGUUCGGUGAUGCUAGGGUUGUAGGGAUAUGUAUAUGCAGUAGCCCGAAUGUUGUUCGGAGUCCUGGAUGAGAUCCCGGACGUCGCGAGGAGUUCCGGAAUGGUCCAGAGGUAAAGAGUUAUACAUAGGAAGUGCCUUUUCGGCUAUCGGGACAAGUUUCGGGGUCAUCGGUAUUGUACCGGGACCACCAGAAGGGUCCCGGGGGUCCACCGGGUGGGGCCACCUAUCCCGGAGGGCCCCAUGGGCUGAAGUGGGGAGGGGAACCAGCCCUUAGUGGGCUGGUGCGCCCCCAAGGCCCACCCCUUGCGCCUAGGGUUGAAACCCUAGGGUGGGGGGCUCCCCACUUGCCUUGGGGGGCACUCCACCCCCCUUGGCCGCCGCCCCCCUAGGAGAUUGCAUUUCCUAGGGCCGGCGCCCCCCUAGGCCCCCUAUAUAUAGUGGGGGGGAGGGAGGGCCUCUAACAAACGCCUUUGGUGCCUCCCUCUCCCUCUCCAACACCCCCUCCUCCUCCAUAGAGCUUGGCGAAGCCCUGACGGAGUACUGCAGCUCCACCACCACCACGCCGUCGUGCUGCUGCUGGAGCCAUCUUCCUCAACAUCUCCUUCCCCUUGCUGGAUCAAGAAGGAGGAGACGUUACGCUAACCGUACGUGUGUUGAACGCGGAGGUGCCGUCCGUUCGGCGCUAGGAUCUCCGGUGAUUUGGAUCACGUCGAGCACGACUUCCUCAUCCCCGUUCUUUGAACGCUUCCGCGCGUGAUCUACAAAGGUAUGUAGAUGCAAUCCAAUCACUCGUUGCUAGAUGAACUCAUAGAUGGAUCUUGGUGAAACCGUAGGAAUUUUUUUUUGUUUUCUGCAACGUUCCCCAACAUGAAUUUCAUUCCGUCUCUUGCAUGGGACCUAGAAAUUCGCCCAAGGACAUAGAUUAGAUUUUUCAACCAACUUUAGUGCAUUGGAGCAUGUGCAUGUAGUUCAAAUUUGAAUUAUGCACAUAAAAUGCCUAGAAAAACCAAUUAAUGCAUAAAAAUGUCCAAACGAACCCCAAAAACUCACAAAAAUUGACACAACACUCCUAUUGUUCUAUGUUGACACUAGAAUUUUUUUAAAAGCAAUAAGAGGCAAUGGAUAUUGUUUCAUCCCCAAAGGUGGGACGUUCCCUAUCGAAACCAUCAUGCUUGUUGUGAGAAGCUCUGUUUUGUGAGAAGCUUAUGCCCGAACCUGCCCCAAAUGGGACAAAUUUUUUACCAUGGCAUGUUGAUGUCGCUCCAUGAUAGGAUGCCAAGUUUCAUGAAUUUCAUACAAGUUUUGGAUUUACUAGAAUUUAAAAACCAGGCAUCUCAACAUUUUGCCGGCAAUCAACAAUGCCGUGGUGUUUGAAUUUCACUCCCAUCUCUUGCAUGGGACCUAGAAAUGCACCCAAGGACACACAUGUGAUUUUUCAGCCAACUUUAGUGCAUUGGAGCAUGUGCUUGUAGUUCAAAUUUUAAUUAUGCAGAUAAAAUGCCUAGUAAACCUAGUUAAUGUACAAAAAGGCCAAACAAACCCCGAAAAUUCCAAGAUUGAACACAACAUUCCGGUUGUUCUAUGUUAACACUAGAAAUUUUUUGAAAGCAAUAAGAGGCAACGGAUAUCGUCCCGUACCCAAAGGUGGUACGUUCCCUAUCGAAACCAUCAUGCUUAUUGUGAGAAGCUCUGGUUUGUGAGAAGCUUAUACCCGAACCUGCCCCAAAUGGGACAAAAUUUUCACCACAGUAUGUUGAUGCCGCUCCAUGAUAGCAUGCCAAUUUCAUGAAUUUCAGACGAGUUUUGGAUUUAAAAACCAGGUAUCUCAAUGUUUUGCCGGCAACAAGAGUGCCCUAGUGUUUGAAUUUCAUUCUUAUCUCUUGCAUGGGACCUAGAAAUUCACCCAAGGACACAAAUGUGAUUUUUCAACCAACUUUAGUGCAUUGGAGCAUGUGCUUGUAGUUCAAAUUUGAAUUAUGCACAUAAAAUUCCUAGAAAACCCAGUUAAUGUAUAAAAAAGGCCAGAUGAACCCCGAAAAAUUCAUUCCCAUUUCUUGCAUGGGACCUAAGCAUGCACUAAAGGACACAGAUUUGAUUUUUCAACCAAUUUGUAUGCACCGGAGCAUGUGCAUGUAGUUUAAUUUUGAAUUGUGGACCUGAAAUGGCUAGAAAACCAGUUUAAUGUAUAAAAUGUCCAAACGAACAUUGAAUAAUUACAAUUCUUUUACGACACACAUAUAGUUGCAUGUUCACUGCAGAUAAAAGGUCUAGCAAUUCAAACAACGUCCAUUGUCGUUGUGACCCCAUUUUGUAAUUCAAAUCAAGUAGAUCCCACACGGUUUAUUAUCACCAACCAUGUGAGAUGUAGUACAAAAUAUCUUGGAGCAUCAUCGGUGUAUAGUACGCCUAUGGCUUAAGUGAGAAGGUGCGUCGGCUACAGUUCACAGCCGGCGUGUCAAGCACACUAGCUUGCUCCCCCAAAACUCCCGCCUCUGCAUCCCUCGCAAUCUUGAAAAUAUCUACCGCCCAGAAGGUUUUAAUGUUUGAUACCACACGAUUAGUAUGUGCGGACCAUGUGCGAUGUCUGUUACUCUCGCUCUGCUUCAGUCCCUUGAUUUAAAUUUUCGGUAGCCCCGGCAUUUUACUCCCGCCUCUGCAUCCCUCGCAAUCUCAAAAAUAUCUGCUCGCCCUUGAUCCAAAUUUUCAGUAGCCCCUCCUUGUUACUCCCUCCUAGUAAAAUUUUCAGUUGCCGCAUUAUUUCCUCAAACACAACCUCCGCUCACACAGACACACACAACCCUUGAAACCAUUGGUAGGUCACCGCCAUCGCCGGCGCCUCCAUACUCAACAUCUGCCUGUGUUCCGGGGAGCUCGAGGAGCCAAUGGCCAAAAAGAGGUUUAUCGCGGCAUUUUCGCCCGACGCUGGCGAGGUGGCCGCCGAGGUGUCCCUGUCGUCCUCCGCGGGCCCGAUCCGCCAUCGCCAGUCCCCUAAUCCACUCGUCGCCUCGCCCCUACGCCCGUUCAACGACUUCCCCGUCCUCCCUUGGACCUGACAGCUGACGAAUUCCUACCUCGGGGUCCGGCAGCGGCGGUGGGGGACGUGGGUUGCUGAGAUUACAGAUUGAGAGACCCACACCAGUCGGUGGCUCGGUAGCUUCCACAUGGCCGAGCUCGCGUCCAUGGAGUACGACCGUUGGCAGGUCCGCUACUACGGCGCAGCGGCUAGGCUCAAUUUCCCCUUCGGCACAUGUCCGGUCCACCUCGUUUCGCUGAAGCCAGUGGUGGUGAGCUCGGCUAUGGCGCGGGAGGACCGUGAGGCAUGGGAGCCCCUUGAGGUCGAGGCCGCCGAUGAGGCCUACAUGCAAGAGCUCCGCCGGCAUCACCCGGAGCUCGUGGAGGCGGAGCGGGCGAUCUUUGCCGGGGUGGAGGGCGGCGAGGUUAUCGCGCUCCCCUCCGAUGACGAGGUCGAAGGAGGCGAGGACGGUGGCGCUGAGGGCGUCGAGGUUAUCGCGCUCUCCGCUGAUGAUGAGGUUGAAGGUGGUGGCGCGGAGGGCGUCGAGGUGGGCCCUGAGGACAAGGAGAUCGACGUCGACGAGUGGAGGAGUGCCUUCCCCAACGACCCCUACGAUGGUACUGGCCCGUACCCGGCUUGCGGCACACCGUACAUGACGAGGAAGGAUUGACUCGACCUCUACUUCAACCGAAAGUAGUUUAGCUUAGUUUAAAUUUAUGUUUUAUGCUCAGUUAUGUAAAACUAUCUGUGUUUAUGUUUGAAUGCCACUAGUAGAAAACAGGGCUUUGGUCUAGGCCGGGACAGCCCAUUAGUCCCGGUUCAGUCCAGAACCGGGACCAAUGGGGGCAUUGGUCCCGGUUCGUGAGCCUAGGGGGCCGGCCGGGCCACGUGGGCCAUUGGUCCCGGUUCAUCUGGACCUUUUGGUCCCGGUUGGUGGGAUGAACCGGGACCAAUGGGUCUCGCUCCUGGCCCACAACCAUUGGUCCCGGUUCGUGCCUCAAACCGGGACUAAAGAUUAGACCUUUAGUCCCGGUUUGAGGCACGAACCGGGACUAAUGGGGUUGAGACCUUUAGUCCCGGUUCGUGCCACGAACCGGUACUAAAGGUCCCAUUUUCAAACUCUACCCCUCCUAGUGGAUCGCCUUUUCAGUUUAAAAAAAUAAAAGAAAAUGAUGGAAAUGUCAAAAAAAUAAAAGAAAUUAAGUUUCCCAUGUGAUAUGUGGUCUAGUUGUUGGGAAAAUUUGCAAAUGUGAAUUUUGACUUUAUUUGCAAAAUCUCUGAAAUUUGUAAAAAUGGGCAUAACUUUUGCAUACUAACUCGGAUGAAAAAGUUUUUUAUAUGAAAAAUCAUCUACUCGAAAAGGUACAUCCGAAUUUAUAAACAUUUUCAAAAUCCUCAAAAACCUAAUAGAAAAAAGUUACGGGGCUUUUAAGAUCUAGAGUGAAAAAAUCGAAAAAAUUCAAACAGUGGGCAAACUAUGGUCAAACAAUGGUCAAACUAAUUAUUCUAGAAUAUUAGUGUUACUAAAUAAUUAUUUCAGUUAUUUCAAUUUUGGUCAAAUCUGGUCAAACUGUGGUCAAACUGUGGUCAAACAAUGGUCAAACUAAUUAUUCAAGAAAUAUUAGUGUUACUAAAUAAUUAUUGUUUUUUAAAACAAUAGUUUCAAAAUAAAACUAUGAAAUGUGUCACUUCAUGCUCAAGUAAAAUUCCUGAAGGUUAAUAGGAUUGACAUCUUAGUAUUGUUAGGAAAACAACAAGUGCAAACUUGGAGCGAGGGAGAAUAGAACCCAGAAGUUAAGCGUGCUCAGGCUGGGGGAGUGGGAGGAUGGGUGGCCAUUCGGGAAGUUAGAUGAUUUGGAAUGAUGAGGGGUGAUUAGAGGAUAAAUUGAGAAGUGAUGAGGGGUGGUGAUUACAGACUAGAGGUUAAAAAAAUUCAGAAAUUUGAAAUUCAAAAAAAAUUUAAAAAAAAUAAAAACAUAAAAAAAAGCAUAAAAUUUCCUUUAGUCCCGGUUGGUGUUACCAACCGGGACUAAAGGUGGAGCUCCACGUGGCCGCGCCCUUUAGUCCCGGUUCUGGAUUGAACCGGGACUAAAGGGAGAGGCAUUAGUACCGACCCUUUAGUCCCGGUUCCAGAACCGGGACUAAAGGCCCUUAUGAACCGGGACUGAAGGCCCUUUUUCUACUAGUGUGCAUGCUACUUUCAGUUGAACCUUCUUUGAACUUGAUCAAAUUGAAGUUUACAACCUUAAGUUUAGGGGAUCGACUAGAAAAGGCCAAAAAUUGAUGGAGUAUAUAUAUCCACUAAGGGUUUUAGUCCUUUAACUUUUUAAGGAUCUCCUAGAUAUGUCCUUAUGACUUGUUUAUUUCAGUUCUUCACAAUGUGAUGCUCUAUAUGUGCAACUAUUUUCCGUGCAGUUCAAUUUCAUCAAUAACAGUGUCAACAAUACCACUAUGAAUUAUGAUAUUUGGUUGCUGUUAAGGAUAUUGCAGUUAACAUGCCUUUUCGUUUUUCAAUUGUUGUUUAGAAACAUGCAUUGUACUGAAUGACUAAAUAUGCAAUCCCAGGCUACAUAGCAACAAGGAAGAGUGUUACCUUAAUGUUCUGAUGAUGUCUAGAUACAGAUGUAAUAAAAUCUUAUAUAAUGGGAUGGACGGAGUGUUGUACUACAUCAUUUUUCAAUUGUUGUUUAGCUUCUAAUAUUAACUUGGUGCUUUUAGGUACAUAUAUCAUUGCCAAAGAUCCACACUUCGACCCUUUCUGCGUAUGGGGCAAUGAGAUACUCAUGAACCAGCAUCAAGUGAGGAAACUGAUAAAGAUUGUUAUUAAAAUGGGUCAAAAGAUGUCAAUCGAACUAUUUUUUUACACUUUAUGCAAGACAAAAGUGAACUGCAGGAUGGUAAGUAAGAACCCUGUAGCCUUCUUUUUACUGCCCGUAAUGAGUUGUGUUAGACAACAAUAUCUGAAUCUUUUUUCUUUUGCAAUGGAUCCUAAAGCAGUUUACUCAAGAUUACCUCUCAAACUACAUGACUGGCGGCCGGCCAUCACAAGGGGUUGGACUAGAGUCAUGCAUGCCUUCUGCAUCCAGGAGAGCGCAAUAGGGCCAUUCCGCUUCACCUUGUUCAACAACUGGAAUGUCUGUCUCCUCUUUGUUUACCAUCUAUAAUAGUACAAGUAUAGAACCCUGGUACAUCAUUCUUUAUUUGGUGCUUCUGUAAUUCUUAAACAUAUGUACCUGUGAAUCGAAUAAUGAUUGGUUGUUUGAACUUGAUGGAUAUGAAUAAAGCUAUAGCCUACUUUCAAGUUUAAAUUAGGUACAAUUUUAAAUAGCAGCAAUUAAUUAGGGAGAAAUUAUGUUGCGCAGGUCAUUACGGCACACACGGUUGGUAAAACACAAACGUUUGUGAUAUACACCAUAAUCUGAGACGGUUCACAGAGAGGAAACAUGUGCAAGCAUGCACACAGUUGCCGUUUGCAAAGUGUGUGUGAUGUCAGACACUAUCACAUACGGUGCGGGAAAACUAAAUGUGUGUGAUUGUCUACCUAUCAUACACGGUUUAUAAUCAUGAACUGUUUGUGAUGUGCCAGGCAUCGUAAAAUUCCCGUGCCUAGAAUCUGCCUGGAAAACUCCCAUGCUUGGAAUCUGCCUAGUUUUAGGCAGAACCACAAAACUCCGACUGCGAUGGCAAUACGAGCAUAAACGAGUAGCAAGGAUGAAGCAUUUGGGAUAUUCGAGAUAUCGGAAACGGUUAUAUAGGGACAACUAUAUGCAUCAAGGCUCCCUAUCCCAGACGGUUUGUGGGUCAUGUGGGAUGGACCCCCCUAUCGCCCACACUCACUUGGCGACGGUUCCAUAUGCCGUCGCGGAAAGGGGUUAAAAACAGUUUGUUUAGGACCGAUGUGCACCAGUGACUCUCUCCAGGUAUCACCUUACAUUCUAGGCACACACAUGCCUAUCUUCUCUUCUCGAGAGGAUGAAAUCAAUCUGGCUAGAGUGUUGGCCACUACUAAAAGUCACCAUAUGUGAUUCUCUCUUUCUAAAAAGGGUGCUAGCUACAAUCAUGUCGUAGGCUAGAGCAAAACUUAAGACAUCUUCUCCUUCUUGAUUCCUGGUACCGUAGCCAAGGCGCACAUGCACCCCUUCAAAACCUGUGUUAGAUGUACCCACGUGGCCAUUAAAGUCUCCUCCUAUAUAUGAAGAGCUUCUUGCCAAUCGGUACACUCCUGACAAUGUCUUCCAGGCCUUCCCAGAACUCCCUCUUGGUAUUCUCAUUGUGGCCUACUUGCGGGGCAUAUGCGCUGAUAACAUUCAGAACUAAAUCCCCAACUCCCAGCUUGACCAGGAUAAUCCGAUCCCCAUGUCUCUUCACGUCUACCCCUCCAUACUUGAGGCUCUUGUUGAUCAAGAUGCCUAGGACAUUUUUGCUUUCAGCCGUCCCCGUGUACCACAGCUUGAAGCCGGUACCCUCCACCCCCUUCGCCUCCUGUCCCCUCCAUUUAGUUUCUUGGACAGAAAGUAUAUCAACACCUCUUGUCACCGCGGCAUCAACUAGCUCCCGAAGCUUCCCUGUCAGAGACCCUGUGUUCCAGCACUGGUGUAGAGAUGUGCUAUACAAACGGUUUUUACCCCCUUUCCACGACGGAGUUUUAGACCAUCGCCUAGUGAGUGUGUGCGAUAGGGGGGUCCUUCCCACAGGACCCAGAAAUCGUCGGGGAUAGGCCCUCCGGCCACAUAGGCGGGGGUAAAAUGAGCUCAUGUGCAAUCGGGCGAGGCAUCGAAACCCAAUCAUUUCCGUUCGUAUGUACAUCCCACAUGGUGAAUCCCAGAAAAACAUUUUCGUUCGUAUGUAUAUCACACAUAGUUUUUUGUGUGGAAACGUUUGUGCAAGGUGGCCUAACGCAAAUAGUUCUCUGCCAGAAGCCAUGUGUGAUUGUUAGUUGAUCCAACACGCCUACUUUCUAGAAACCGUGUGGGUUGUUUGAGUUCAUCGCCCACGGUGUUGUCUGAGUAACCGUCUGCAAUAGGAAACCCCAAUAAGCAGCGUAAUUAGCCUAUUAUUGAUAAUCCAUGUAGUAAUCAAAUUGACAUAUCUUAUAAAACACACCAAAUAUUUCAUAUAUAUGUAUAAGUAUAACGACAACUAGGAUUUCAUAAUCGAAUUACAUCAAAUAGCUUCAGCACUCAGUUACACCAUUACACAACAGCACCAGGUUUCACAUGCAACAUCGAAAACCUUUGGAAAGUAGCAUUAUACACGGUAAUAGACAGAUGAAUCUCAUCUAGGAAACUACAGAAGUGGAAGGCAAAUAUUGAGCCUUCAGUGAUGUUGAAUGUCCUUGCAACUUUAGGCCAGUGGCUAUGGAUAAUUGUCCGCCCAACCUUAGUCCUCUUCAGGAAGACUUCAAUAUUGUAUCAUGGGUGUUGAAUGAAUACCUUCCUCACCUUUUGACCAUGCAGGUGGUUUGAGAGGAAAUCAUCGGUGAACUGCUUUGAAAAGUACUGAAAACAAAGAUAUGCAUAAAUCACUGUUAUAACUUUUGAAAUGGCGCAAGGGGUAAAAACAAGGUAAAAGAGUUAGUAGCAUCCUAUAAUUGACUGAUGUCUUCUUCAUUGUGCAAACAAAGAUCUUGCUAUUAUUCGUCGCAAGUUUCUUCAUCCUAACAAUCUUUCUGAGUUUCUUGACUUGACUGGUAUUCAUGGACAUCUCAUUUCCCCAUAUGCAAAAUGGAUCGAAAAGUGGGUAUAAGCCUCUGACAGCAGGACCUACAUGUGCAAGACCAAAUUGUAAGAAACCUAAAAGUGGGUCUAAGCCUCUGACAGCAGAACCUACAACAGGACCUAACUGCACAAUAAUGUGCUAUUAGCGAAAGGACCAUGCAUGAGCAAACCUCGAUGGUAAACCGCAGUGUCUCCCAUUGUUUCCCUGCAACACAUAUAAGGAAGAUCUUGAUCAGGCUAACUGAGAGCUGCCAUACUAUCAGUAGAAUAUGUAUUGAGUACAGCAAAAUUCGAUUUAUUUCUCACAUGCAUAACAAUACAAAAUUGUACCCACAGCAAAUGAAAAUCAAAUUGCAGAAUUGAACCAAAUAGUUAAAUGGACAACAGACCAAAUGAACCAAAAUAGUUAACUGGGCAUGACAUUGCAGAAUAGAAACAUGUACUAGAAGAUAAGACAGUUAACAAAACAAAGAAUGCUUGAGAACAGUACUACGAAAUGUAGCAAUUGUUGGACCAAACUAUUAACUGAACAUUACAUUUCAGAGGACCAAACUGUUAGUUGAACAUCAGAUUGCAUAUUAACAUUAUAGAGGACAAAUCACUAGAAGGCACUAGCGAUGGCCUCGAGAAAAUAGCAUGAACUAUAUUUUAAAGUAGACAACCACAUGGUGGUGUCAACGGUGGCCUCGAAGACGAGGUGCUCCUCUAAGAUCUGGCGGUCGGCACGCAUGGCAGCCAUAGUGACCUUGUGUGCGCGUGCGGCCGCAGAUUGCUUCUCCGCAGCCAGUUGCUACUGAGCUCCAUGUUAUACUACGUACAAAAUGGUUGUGGGCGGCGCUUAAUUGGAGGACCGGGCCAGUGAUUUCGGUGGAAGGUGCCGCGCCGUCGGUCGGGGCAUGUGGGACGGGGAAGGAUGAGGAUGGUGUGCGUGGGGUGUGGAUUACCUGACCAUAUCGAUGAGGCCGUGCGACAAGAAGAAGGGUCGGCAGCGAGGAGGCUGCGCAGCAAGAAGAAGGGUCGAUGGUGAGGAGGCGGCGCUGCAAGAAGAAGGGUAACCGGCGAGGAGGCGGCGCUGCAAGAAGAGGGUCACCGGCGAGGAGGCUGGGCUGCUAGUAAGCAGCAGUGAAGGUUUGAACUUGGAAAAGCAAGGAGGAACAGUGGAAAUGUGGCUUUUUGUGGAGGGAGGGGCAGUGAGAUAGAUAUUUCCACGGUGGCAGAAAAAAUUCGCUCGGUGCCACGAGAAACUGGUGCGCAAGUGUGGUUCAUGCGCGGGCGGUGGACUGUAGACGAUGACGCUUCCUGCGCAAGCCAGACAAGACGAUGCGCCAAGAUAUUUUAUAUCGCAUCCCACACGAUUCUUGCUAAUAAAGUGUUUGUGGUAUACCUGAUUUUGUCAUUAUGUUUUGAAAGACAAAAUGGUGUCACGAAGAGAAAGGAUGGUGUUUGAAUUGCUAGAACAUUUAUGUACAGUGAACAUGCAACUACAUGAGUGUCGUGACUAAAUUUGGAAUUAUUCUGGGUUCGUUUGGUAUUUUUUAUGCAUUAAUUGAGUUUCUAGGCAUUUAAUGUGCAUAAUUCAAAUUUGAACUACAAGCACAUGCUCUAGUGCACAAAAGUUUGUUAAAAAAUCACAAUUGUGUCUUUGGGUGAGUUUAUAGGUCCCAUGCAAGAAUGAGAAUGAAAUUCAAACAUCUGGGCGUCGUGGCUCGGUCGGGAACAUUGAGAAACUUGGUUUUUAAAUUCCUGUAAAUUCAAAACUUGCCUGAAAAUCAUAAAACUUGGCAUGGUGUCAUUUCAUGGCACCAACAUGUUGUGGUAAAAAAAUUGGCCGCAUUUGGACAAGUUUUGGUAUAAUCUUCUUGCAAACCGGAGCUUCUCUCAAGAAGACUCAUGGUUCCCGAGGGGGGGACGUGUCACCUUUGUGUGCGAAAUGAUGUACGCAGCCCCCUUGAUUGUUUACAAAGGAAACAUAGAACUAUAUGAGUACCAUGUUAAAAUUUGGAAUUAUUUCGGGUUUGUUUGGCAUUUUUUACAUUAAUUGAAUUUCUGGGCAUUUAAUGUGCAUAAUUCAAAUUUGAACUACAAGCACAUGCUCCCGUGCAGCAAAGUUGGUUGAAAAAUCACAUGUGUAUCCUUGGGUGAAUUUCUAGGUCACAUGCAAGAAAUGGGAAUGGAAUUCAAACAUCUGGGCGUCGUCGCUCGGCCGGAAAUAUUGAGAAACUUGGUUUUUAAUUCCUGUAAAUCCAAAACACGUAUGAAAAUCAUAAAACUUGGCAUGGUGUCAUGACAUAGCACCAACUUGAUGUGGUAAUUUUUUUGGCCGAAUUGGGACAAGCUUUGGUAUAAGCUUCUUGCAAACCGGAGCUUCUCUCAAGAAGGCUCGCGGUUCCGAGAGGGAACGUGUCACCUCUGUGUGCGAAACAACAUACACUACCUUCUCCCGCCUUGAUUUUUUUACACAUGUAGCUUAUACCAAAUAGGAGUUUCGUGCUAAAAUUUGGAAUUAUUCUAGGUUUGUUUGGCCUUUUUAUACAUUAAUUGAUUUUCCAGGAUUUAAUGCACAUAAUUCAAAUUUGAAGUACAAAUGCAUGCUCCAGUGCACAAAAGUUAGUUGGAAAAUCAUUUAUGUGUACUUGGGCGAAUUUCUAGGUCCCAUGGAAGAAGUGGGAAUGGAAUUCAAACAUCUGGGCAUCUUGGCUAGGCUGGAAACAUCAAGAAACUUGGUUUCAAAAUUUUCGUAAAUCCAAAACUCACCUCAAAAUCAUGAAACUUGGCAUGGUGUCAUGACAUGACACCAACAUGAUGUGGUAAAUUUUUUGUCCGAUUUGUGAAGGCGCACACAUUAAUAAUCAACAAAGUCAUUUUGGAACAAGUGUUGUCACGUUACAAAUUGGAAACACAAGUAUUAUUGAAACCAUGAGCGUUCUACUUACCAUUUGUGUGCCACCACGCGUCCCCUUCUUUUAUUGUCUAGGAGGUGUCGUGCAGGGUAGCUAUUUGAGUACGGCAGGCGUGCGAUCAGACCCCUACGCGUGCUCAUCAGGAGGAGAGCCCUUUGACCUCUAUCUGCCGCCCACCUCCCUCCCAAUGUCUCCAUUAAUGGCGCCCGAGCCCCUAUUUCAUGGCGUGGCUAUGUCUCACUCGACUGUUGAUGUAAGAUCCGACAGACCGAUAUAGCAUUGACUACGACUUAUAGCAAGACUGUUAAAUAUAAGGACAAUGACAGUGGAUAAUGAUUGUCUUACAUAUUUAGGAAGAAAAUUAAAAAAGCCACAUGCGGCAACGCCCGAAAUACACAAGGGCAAAAGAAGAAGGAAGACAAGGAUCUGGCUCACUGAUCUCUACUUUCUUGAUACGUUGCUGCAGGCCACGGGAACUAGUCUCCACGGCGAACGGGUAUGAGCUCUUUGGUGUCCUCAGGACGCUGCUUGAGAGCAUCCACAGAUUCCUCCACCAGCCUUUGGCACUCGAUGCAGAGCAUGGCAUUCUCAUCCAUAAGUUUCUUGACAAUGACGCCAGUCCUCUGCAACAAGGCAGUGGUCUCCUCGUGCUGCUUCGUCCUUCCGGCGAUCUUCGCCCUUAGCAGGUCGCACUCGGUGCAGAGCUUUGCCUUGUCCUCCCCUAGUCCCCGGAUGGCGCUGGUAGCAUUUUCAAACGAGGUAUUCAUCUUGUCCUGCUGCUUCAUCCAUUCGGAGAUCCGGCCCAUCAGGUCAUCGAGCAUAGCACGCAUGCGCCUGUGAGAGUCCUCGCCUGCCCACGAGACAUUUUCCCAGGCCGCCGAGGUGCGGAAGGACAUUUGUGUUGCAUUCGUGGCGCGGAGGGACAUCUCUGCUGCUUCCACGGCGCGGCCGGACCAGUCUGCUGCAUCGACGGUGUGGCGGAACCUCUGUGCUGCUUUGGCGGCACGAUGGGACCUCUAUGCUGCUACGGCCGCGCAACGGGACAUGUCAGCUACUUUUGCGGCGAGGCAGGACAUAUCUCGUGCUUCCGCUUCCAUGAUCGCCUCUCCCUGGUAGUAAUCUCUUGACCCAGAACUCACACUAGCCAUGGCAGGCGCAAGGGAAUGACAAUGAAUGACUUGUUUGUUUUUGUGGAUGAGGAGUUGAGGAGGAGUAGUAUUUAUAACCAAGUACUAAUACACUCCUAAGUGGGAAACCGUUUAGAUUUUGAUCGGUGUGAAUAGGUUUGCAAUUAAAUAUAGCAUGGUGGUAAUUUAGAAUGUGACAGGUAAACAAUUGUCUGGUGUGUGCUAGGCGCCCCCCUCCCACAUAUAUAUAGGUGGGAGGGAGGGAGGAGCAGCCAUAGGAGAUGCCCAAGUAGGAGGAAUCCUACUUGGAGUCCCUCCAAAGCCACGCCCCUCCCCUGCCAUAUUUAACCGAGGGGGGAGGAAAGAGGGGGGAGGGAAGGAAGUGGGAAUCCUAAUCCAUACUUUCCUUUCCCUUCUCCCCUUUCCUUCUCCUCCUUAGGCCAGCCCAUAUGGGGGGCGCACCAGCCCCUUGUGGCUGGUGUGUUUCCCCUCUUGGCCCAUAAGGCCCAUAUCUUUUGCCUGGGGUGCCCGGAACCCCUUCCGGUAACCCGAUAAGUACCCACUACCCCCCGAAACACUUCCGGUACUCGUUACCUCUCGACCAUUUCGAGACUCCUCGUCAUGUCUGUGAUCUCAUCCGGGACUCCGAACAACAUUCGGUCACCAAAUCACAUAACUCAUAUAAUACUAUAUCGUCAUCGAACGUUAAGCGUGCGGACCCUACGGGUUCGAGAACUAUGUAGACAUGACCGAGACACCUCUCCAGUCAAUAACCAAUAGUGCAACCUGGAUGCCCAUAUUGGCUCCUACAUAUUCCACGAAGAUCUUUAUCGGUUGAACCGUUAUGACAACAUACAUAAUUCCCUUUGUCCAUCGGUAUGUUACUUUUCCGAGAUUCGAUCGUUGGUAUCUUCAUGCCUAGUUCAAUCUCGUUACUGGCAAAUCUCUUUACUAGGAUGAUGCAUUAUGGAACAAGUAAAGAGACUUGCCGGUAAUGAGAUUGAACUAGGUAUGAUGAUACCGACGAUCGAAUCUUGGGCAAGUAACAUACCGAUGACAAAGGGAAUCACAUAUGUUGUUACGCGGUUUGACUGAUAAAUAUCUUCAUAGAAUAUGUAGGAACCAAUAUGAGCAUCCAGGUUCCGCUAUUAGUUAUUGACCGGAGAUGUGCCUCGGUCAUGUCUACAUAGUUCUCGAACCUGUAGGGUCCGCACGCUUAAUGUUCAAUGAUGAUUUGUAUUAUGUGUUAUGUGAUUUGAUAACCAAAGUUUGUUCGGAGUCCCGGAUGAGAUUACGGACAUGAUGAGGAGUCUCGAAAUGGUCGAGAGGUAAAGAUUCAUAUAUUGGAAGGUUGCAUUUGGACACCAGAAUGGUUCCGAGUGGUUCGGGCAUUUUUCCGGAGUACCGGGAGGUUACCGGAACCCCUGGGAGAAGUAUUGGGCCUAUUGGGCCUUAUUGGAGGAGAGGAUAAAGGGCCAAUUGAGAGCGCCCCCCCCCUUGCCCAAACUGAAUGGGACUAGGGGAGGGGGCCGGCCCCCCUCUUUCCUUCUCCCUCUCUCUCCCUUCCCUUUCCCUCCGGUAGAAGAAAGGAAAAGGGGGGCGAAUCCUACUUGGACUAGGAGUUCAAGUAGGACUCCCCCCUGGCGCGCCCAACCUGGCCGGCCUCCUCUCUCCCUCCCUCCUUUAUAUACAUGGCCAGGGGCACCCCAAUAGCACAUCAGACAAUCUCUUAGUCGUGUGCGGUGCCCCCCUCCACAGUUUACCACCUCAGUCGUAUCGGCGUAGUUCUUAGGCAAAGCCCUGCGCCGGUAAUUUCAUCAUCACCGUUGCCACGCCGUCUGCUGAUGGAACUCUCCCUUGUCCUCAACUAGAUCAAGAGCUCGAGGGACGUCAUCGUGCUGAACGUGUGCAGAACUCGGAGUUUUCAUACGUUCGGUGCUUAAUCGGUCGGAACGAGAAGAAGUUCGACUACAUCAACCGCGUUGUCAAACGCUUCCGCUUUCGGUCUACGAGGGUACGUAGACACACUCUCCCCUCUCGUUGCUAUGCAUCACCUAGAUAGAUCUUGCGUGAUAGUAGGAAUUUUUUUGAAAUACUGCGUUCCCCAACAGGAUCGAUGGCGAUGGCGGCUACUGCCCACCUACAUCAAGAAAUGGGUACCCCUGAGGUCCAAUCUUGGUGGAGAAGAUGCGGGCGAUGACGGCCGAAGCUCUCGGCGUCGCGGGCUGGCUAGAGGAAGCGGAAUUACCGAAGAACUGUGGCUGGAGCUACAGCAUAAAGGCGGGUGCACACGGAUAUGCUAGAGUUGCUUUUAGUGUAGUGAUGGGGUCCUUUGGAAAUCUGUACUCUUUGGUAAAAGAACAACCAAAGGCAUCGAAGAUCGAGAAGUAGUAGCACAUUACACCAACUGUGAGACAAAGUCCAAAAGUGGUCAAUAGUUAGACCUUAGGCCCUUCUCAAUGCUCCACCUUGUACAGGUGCUAAGGCAGCCAUGUAGGCUAAAAAGCUGAUGUGGCAAAGUAAUUAAGAGGAAAGAGAUUAGUGUGGCAACCCCAGAAAGAAACAAUGCCAAGCGAAUGAACCUAGGCAAAAUAAUUAAAUGAAAGAAGCCCACCACUGCAUGGAGGACAUUAGGCCCCUCCCAAUGCUCCAUCUUGUACAGGUGCUAAGCCUAUCAUGUAGGCGAAAAACUGAUGUGGCAAGAUAAUUAAGAGGAGAGAGAUGGGUUUGGUGACCCCAGGAGGAACCAAUACCAACCGCGAGAACCUUGGCAAAACGUUUAAGUGAAGCAUACUCACCAGUGCAUGAAAGAGUUUAGCAGUUAAGUUAGUAAAUGAAGAGAGCUUAGCUACAACAAGUUAAGCACCUAUGCACUCGGGACUACAGUUGCUAAACUAUUUAAUGUGCUUAGCACCUCAUCUAAGCACUUGUGCAUUGGAGGAGGUCUUAGUUGCUAAAUCAUUCAAUGAAGGGAGCUUAGCUACAACAAGUUAAGCACCUAUGCAUUUGGGGGCUUUACAUGCUAAAGUCUUUAAUGUGCUUAGCACCUCAUCAAGCACCCCAUGCAUUGGAAACGGUUGACUAUUAUUCUUAGUAGGUUGUGCGAUACUACCUUCGUCCUGGUUUAUUAGUCCUUUACGUAUUUUGUGCGAAAUUUUGACCAUAGAUUUAACUAAUAAAUGUUAUUGCAUGUCAGCAAAAAAAUCAUUGGAUUCAUAUUUGAAUAUAGUUUUCGAUGAUAUAAUUUUUUGUGACAUGCAUUAAAUUUUUGUUAGUUAAGUUUAUGGUCAAAGUUUGACACAAAAUAAGAAGAAAACUAAUAAAUCAGGAUGGAGGUAGUACUUCCUUCAUAAUUACACGACUUUCUAGUUUCAUAAAUCUCACUAAUAAUACACACGAAAAAUAUCAUAAAAGCUAUACUGUUGAAAAUUUUGUUCGAAUAUGAAUUCAACAACAUAAUUUUGCUCCCCGCUUAGAGGUUAAAUGACAUACAUGAUUCACUUUGCAUAUUAGUUUUGACCUCAGUCAAAUUUUAUGAAGUUUGACCAACUUUAUCAAAAACAAUCUAAAGUCUCACAAUAAAAGAAUGGUAUGUAAAUAUAUUGAAUGAUAAUUCUAGUAAUAUUAAUUUGUGUUGUGAAUGUUAAUUUUUUUAGAAGCUUGAUCAAAGUUUAGAUAGUUUCAUUCAAAACAAAGCUAAUAUGCGAAGUAAAUGAAAACAAAGGGAGUACAUGCUCUAUAUUGAACGUUAGAGCAUCUCCAGCCGUUCGGCCCCCCAGGGCGCCGAAAAAGAGCCGCCUGGGGGCGAGCCGGCGCUAGAUUGGCGCGUGGGGGCGACUUUGUUCCCAGUCGUCGGCCCACAGGAUGCCCCGGGUUCGGCGAUGUUCCGUACAAAUAUAUGCAAACUCGGCGAUUUUUGCACGAACUUGGCGAAAAUUCAUUGAAAUUUGUACAGAAAACAUAAAGCCAUGCAAACUACGCCUAAACUACGCCAAAUUACGCCUAGCUGCCGCUGCCGCCGUCGUCUACAUGCCGAGAAGCCUGUAGAAGCGGGUGUCGUCGUCGUCGUCAUCGCGCGCGGCUGGCUUGGGCCGGUGUCGUCCCUGCUGCAGCCCUGGGCAGGGGCGCCGAGGCGUGGUGGCACGCUGGACGGCCCGGCCUCGUCCUCCUCGUCGCUGUCGAGGACGAUGAAACCGCCCUCCUUGCGCCCGCGGCACCGGGCCUGGAGCUUCGCGUACGCCCGGUGCUGCCGGCGUACCUGCUCCCGGACAUAGUCCUCCUUCGCCCACUUGAGGGAAGACUCGGGGGGCCGCCAUCUCGACGUGCUUCCGCUUCACUGGGAGCAGCCCCGGCUCCGGCUUCGGCCGGACCAGGCGGAGGGAGCCACGCGGGGACGGCCGGCCACCCUCGUUGAUGACGAGGGCGUCGCUGCGGGUGCGGCGCCCCAGCGGCAUCUCCUCUGGCUCGGGCUUGAGGGGGCGGAGCGCGGUUGGCGAGCCAGAGCCGGACGACGAGGACGACCCCGGCUCCAUCCGCCGUGGCGUCCAGGAGCUACCACGGCGGUGAGAGAAGGACGGCCUCGGCGGGUACUUGAGGCGCGGUACGUUGCCGGUCUCGAUGUGGUCGAGGACGGCCUCGAGGGUGCGGUGCGCCUGGCAUGCCCCACCACUCGCGCCGUCCGUCAGCGUUGAGGCGGCCCCGCGGGAUGAGCUGUUGGUGGAGGUGAUCUGCUCCUCGCGGUGGCGUUGGAAGUACAUGGUCUAGAGGGUGUGGCCGUCGGUGGCGUAGCGCGGCUCGUUCCGCUGCUCCUUCUUCAGGGAUGAGCGGAUGCGGGCGAUCUCGGCCCGCCACGCCGCCCCUUCGGGCACUGGUGGCAUCGGGACGCCGCUGGCGCUCAGUCUCCACGUCCCCGGCACCCGCAUGUCCGGGGGCUCCGGGUACUCGGUCUCGUAGAGAAGGCGCGCCUCCAGCUCUUGGAGGUGGCGGCGACCGAAGCCGUUCGCCGCCUCGCCGUCGCCUGGGUACCUCUCGGUCAUCUUUUUCAUCGGCGGGAAGAGGGAAGAGUGUUGCUUUCUGCGCCAGAGAGGGGGGAAAUGAGGGUUGUGCCGUCCACCGGCCGGGAGGUCGCCCUUUAUAGCCGUAGCUAGGCAGCGACGGGCUGCAUGUCGGGCGACGCGUGGCAGGACGCACGUCGCGGCGCGUUGACUGCGCUAUCCGUGAGGCAUCAAUGGAGGCUGACCGAUGAGGCAGCGUGGCAGCCUUGGCCAGCCAAAUUGAUUCCCACGGAAACCGAGGCGAUGAGGGCGACGAAGCGGCGUCUCGCUGACUCGGCGGGCCCAUCCUCUUUCACGCCAAAAACGCUCGCCUCGGUGCCCCCCAGUGCGCCCGGUUCGGCCUGGGUCCGUUGGUGCCAGUUUCGGUCCAAACCGGCGAAAAACAGGCUCUUGGGAACGCGACUGGGCCGGUUUUUAAGCGCCGGCACGGAAAAGUCAUUUGGGAAGGGUCUGUUGAGGGCGCGGCUAGAAAUGCUCUUAGCUAGGCUGCUUUGAGUGCAACUGUGCAAGUUGGCCAUAUUGAACGUCAGCUAGGCUGCUUUGAGUGCAAGUUGGCCACUGGUCCUUGUCGGCCCAAUUGGAGAGUCAACGUUCAAAGGCAUCACCAUAACUUAGCACUGUUGAGCUUGAGAAAUGCUUUUCUGGCUUCGUCUUCACACCUUUCUUUAACAACUCAGUUAAAGGCUUGCUGAUAGCUCCAUACCCCGGUACAAACCUCCUGUAAUAACCCCUGUAACCCUCGGAGUUCUCUGACAUUGUCUGGUUCUGGCCAAGCUGUCAUGCCCUCUACCUUGUUUGUAUCAGUAGACACCCCAAUUUCAUAAAUAAUGUAUUUCCUUUAUGAAAUUUAGCUCACCCACAAAAAGUUUGUUCUGCCGGAACACUUCCUCUAGCAACUUGACAUGCUCCACCAUGGUAGAACUGUAAAGUAGCCUGCACGAAUUUUCAUAAGACUUGCCCUUGUCUAGAGUAUGCGUGUUGAUAGGUUUUACAAAAAUGAUUAUUCUCGUCCAUUUCAACGAAUAAGGUGUGCGGGCAUCUCUAAAUGCAACUUUAAGCAUAUACUAGAUUGAUAAUACAUUUAUAUUGUACUAUUUUUUAAUACAAAUUCAACGGUGUAAUUUUCUUCACAUAUAACACACUUUCUAUUGGUUGAACUUAUGAUUAAAACUAAAUUCCGCAUACAUGCACGUCUUAUUCCUUGAAGUAUAGGGAGUAUAUAUUUUUAGCUCUGGAGAUCUGGAGACGGUCUUUGGGCGGUAAGCAGCCUCUCCUUGCAAAUGGUUGUGCGUGUCUUCCUCCUCGUUUCAUGUGAACAGACUAGGCUCUGCUUUAAGACUAGCCACAAUGGAGAGUGUUAUACACUAGUAACAUACACAUAUUCCUAGACUAUAUUAUUACUUUCAUAGUGGGUAGUAACUUAAGCGUGAUAACAUGCAAAGAUUCAUUUAUUAGGUUAUAGACUCAUAUUGUUGAGGAACAUAGUAAUUUCAAAAAAAUUCCUACGCACAUGCAAGAUCACGGUGAUGCAUAGCAAUGAGAGGGGAGAGUGUUGUCCACGUACCCUCGUAGACCGAAAGCGGAAGCGUUAUGACAACGUGGUUGAUGUAGUCGUACGUCUUCACGGCCCGACCGAUCAAGCACCGAAACUACGGCACCUCCGAGUUCUAGCACACGUUCAGCUCGAUGAGAAUUCUUGGACUCUGAUCCAGCAAAGUGUCGGGGAAGAGUUCCGUCAGCACGACGGCAUGGUGACGAUCUUAAUGUUCUACCGUCGCAGGGCUUCGCCUAAGCACCGCUACAAUAUUAUCGAGGAUUAUGGUGGAGGGGGGCACCGCACACGGCUAAGAGAACGAUCACGAAGAUCAACUUGUGUGUCUAGAGGUGCCCCCUGCCCCCGUAUAUAAAGGAGCAAGGGGGGAGGUCGGACGGCCCUUGGGGCGCGCCAAGGAGGGGGGAGUCCUCCUCCUAGUAGGAGUAGGACUCCCCUUUCCUAGUCCAACUAGGAAGAGAGAAGGGGGAAAGAAAGAGAGGGAGAGGGAGAGGGAAAGAGGGGCCGUGCCCCCCUCCCCUAGUCCAAUUCGGACUCCUCAUGGGAGGGGGCGCACCACCUCCUAGGUUGCCGCCCUCUUUCUCCCCUCGGGACCACUAAGGCCCAAUACUUCCCUGGGGGUUUCCGGUAACCCUUCCGGCACUCCGGUUUUCUCUGAAACACUUCCGGUGUCCGAAUAUAGCCGUCCAAUAUAUCGAUCUUUAUGUCUCGACCAUUUCGAGACUCCUCGUCAUGUCCAUGAUCACAUCCGGGACUCUGAACAACCUUCGGUACAUCAAAAUAUAAAAACUUAUAAUGAAACCGUCAUCGUAACGUUAAGCGUGCAGACCCUACGGGUUCGAGAACAAUGUAGACAUGACCGAGACACGUCUCCGGUCAAUAACCAAUAGAGGAACCUGGAUGCUCAUAUUGGCUCCUACAUAUUCUACGAAUAUCUUUAUCAGUCAGACCGCAUAACAACAUACGUUGUUCCCUUUGUCAUCUGUAUGUUACUUGCCCGAGAUUGGAUCGUCGGUAUCUCAAUACCUAGUUCAAUCUUGUUACCGGCAAGUCUCUUUACUCGUUCCGUAAUACAUCAUCUUGCAACUAACUCAUUAGUUGUAUUGCUUGCAAGGCUUAAGUGAUGUGCAUUACUAAGAGGGCCGAGAGAUACCUCUCCGACAAUCGGAGUGACAAAUCCUAAUCUCGAAAUACGCCAACCCAACAUGUACCUUUGGAGACACCUGUAGAGCACCUUUAUAAUCACCCAGUUAUGUUGUGACGUUUGGUAGCACACAAAGUGUUCCUCCGGCAAACGGGAGUUGCAUAAUCUCAUAGUUACAGGAACAUGUAUAAGUCAUGAAGAAAGUAAUAGCAACAUACUAAAUGAUCGGGUGCUAAGCUAAUGGAAUGGGUCAUGUCAAUCACAUCAUUCUCUAAUGAUGUGAUCCCGUUAAUCAAAUGACAACUCAUGUCUAUGGCUAGGAAACUAAACCAUCUUUGAUUCAACGAGCUAGUCAAGUAGAGGCAUACUAGUGACAUACUGUUUGUCUAUGUAUUAUGUUUCCGGUUAAUACAAUUCUAGCAUGAAUAAUAAACAUUUAUCAUGAUAUAAGGAAAUAAAUAAUAACUUUAUUAUUGCCUCUAGGGCAUAUUUCCUUCUGUCUCCCACUUGCACUAGAGUCAAUAAUCUAGUUCACAUCGCCAUGUGAUUUAACAUCAAUAGUUCACAUCACCAUGUGAUUAACACCCAUAGUUCACAUCGUCAUGUGACCAACACCCAAAGGGUUUACUAGAGUCAAUAAUCUAGUUCACAUCGCUAUGUGAUUAAUACCCAAAGAGUACUAAGGUGUGAUCAUGUUUUGCUUGUGAGGGAAGUUUAGUCAACGGGUCUGCUACAUUCAAAUCCGUAUGUAUUUUGCAAAUUUCUAUGUCAACAAUGCUCUGCACGGAGCUACUCUAGCUAAUUUCUCCCACUUUAAAUAUGUAUCCAGAUUGAGACUUUGAGUCAUCUGGAUCAGUGUCAAAACUUGCAUCGACGUAACCCUUUACGAAGAACCUUUUGUCACCUCCAUAAUCGAGAAACAUAUCCUUAUUCCACUAAGGAUAAUUUUGACCAAUGUCCAGUGAUCUACUCCUAGAUCACUAUUGUACUCCCUUGCCAAACUCAGGGCAGGGUAUACAAUAGGUCUGGUACACAGCAUGGCAUACUUUAUAGAACCUAUGGCUAAGGCAUAUGGAAUGACUUUCAUUCUCUCUCUAUCUUCUGCCGUGGUCGGGUUUUGAGUCUUACUCAACUUCACACCUUGUAACACAGGCAAGAACUCCUUCUUUGACUGUUCCAUUUUGAACUACUUCAAAAUCUUGUCAAGGUAUGUACUCAUUGAAAAACUUAUCAAGCAUCUUGAUCUAUCUCUAUAGAUCUUGAUGCUCAAUAUGUAAGCAGCUUCACCGAGGUCUUUCUUUGAAAAACUCCUUUCAAACAUUCCUUUAUGCUUUGCAGAAUAAUUCUAUAUUAUCUCUAAUCAACAAUAUGUCAUUCACAUAUACUUAUCAGAAAUGUUGUAGUGCUCCCACUCACUUUCUUGUAAAUACAGGCUUCACCGCAAGUCUGUAUAAAACUAUAUGCUUUGAUCAACUUAUCAAAGCGUAUAUUCCAACUCCGAGAUGCUUGCACCAGUCCAUAGAUGGAUCGCUGGAGCUUGCAUAUUUUGUUAGUACCUUUAGGAUUGACAAAACCUUCUGGUUGCAUCAUAUACAACUCUUCUUUAAUAAAUCCAUUAAGGAAUGCAGUUUUGUUUAUCCAUUUGUCAGAUUUCAUAAAAUGCGGCAAUUGCUAACAUGAUUCGGAUAGACUUAAGCAUAGAUACGAGUGAGAAACUCUCAUCGUAGUCAACACCUUGAACUUGUCGAAAACCCUUUUCCGACAAUUCUAUCUUUGUAGAUAGUAACACUACUAUUACCGCCCGUCUUCCUCUUGAAGAUCCAUUUAAUAUAAAUGGCUCGCCGAUCAAUGGGCAAGUCAAUCAAAGUCCAUACUUUGUUCUCAUACAUGGAUCUCAUCUCAGAUUUCAUGGCCUCAAGCCAUUUCGCGAAAUCUGGGCUCAUCAUCGCUUCCUCAUAUUUCGUAGGCUCAUCAUGGUCAAGUAACAUGACCUCCAGAACAGGAUUACCGUACCACUCUGGUGCGGAUCUCACUCUGGUUUACCUACGAGGUUCGGUAGCAACUUGAUCUGAAGUUACAUGAUCAUCAUCAUUAGCUUCCUCACUAAUUGGUGUAGUAGUCACAGGAACAUAUUUCUGUGAUGAACUACUUUCCAAUAAGGGAGCAGGUACAGUUAUCUCAUCAAGUUCUACUUUCCUCCCACUCACUUCUUUCGAGAGAAACUCCUUCUCUAGAAAGGAUCCAUUCUCAGCAAUGAAUAUCUUGCCUUCGGAUCUGUGAUAGAAGGUGUACCCAACAUUUUCUUUUGGGUAUCUUAUGAAGAUGCACUUCUCCGAUUUGGGUUUGAGUUUAUCAGGUUGAAACUUUUUCACAUAAGCAUUGCAACCUCAAACUUUCAUAAAUGACAGCUUAGGUUUCUUGCCAAACCAUAGUUCAUACGAUGUCAUCUCAAUGGAUUUAGAUGGUGCCCUAUUUAAUGUGAAUGUAGCUGUCUCUAAUGCAUAACCCCAAAAUGAUAGUGGUAAAUCGGUAAGAGACAUCAUAGAUCGCACCAUAUCUAAUAAAGUACGGUUACGAUGUUCGGACACACCAUUACACUGUGGUGUUCCAGGUGGCAUGAGUAGUGAAACUAUUUCACAUUGUUUUAACUGAAGGCCAAACUCGUAACUCAAAUAUUUUACUUAUGUGAUCAUAUCAUAGAAACUUUUAUUUUUGUUACGAUGAUUCUUCACAUCACUCUGAAAUUCUUUGAACUUUUCAAAUGUUUCAGACUUGUGUUUCAUCAAGUAGAUAUACUCAUAUCUGCUCAAAUCAUCUGUGAAGAUCAGAAAAUAAUGAUACCUGCCGUGAGCCUCAAUAUUCAUCGGACCACAUACAUCAGUAUGUAUGAUUUCCAAUAAAUCUGUUGCUCGCUCCAUUGUUCCGGAGAACGGAGUCUUACUCAUCUUGCCCAUGAGGCAUGGUUCACAAGCAUCAACUGAUUCAUAAUCAAGUGAUUCCAAAAGCCCAUCAGCAUGGUUUUUCUUCAUGCGCUUUACACCAAUAUGACCUAAACGGCAGUGCCACAAAUAAGUUGCACUAUCAUUAUUAACUUUGCAUCUUUUGGUUUCAAUAUUAUGAAUAUGUGUAUCACUACGAUCGAGAUCCAACGAACCAUUUUCAUUGGGUGUGUAACCAUAUAAGGUUUUGUUCAUGUAAACAGAACAACAAUUUAUUCUCUUACUUAAAUGAAUAACCGUAUUGCAAUAAACAUGAUCAAAUCAUAUUCAUGCUCAACGCAAACACCAAAUAACACUUAUUUAGGUUCAACACUAAUCCCGAAAGUAUAGGGAGUGUGCGAUGAUGAUCAUAUCAAUCUUGGAACCACUUCCAACACACAUCGUCACUUCACCCUUAACUAGUCUCUAUUCAUUCUGUAACUCCUGUUUCGAGUUACUACUCUUAGCAACUGAACCAGUAUCAAAUACCGAGGGGUUUCUACGAACACUAGUAAAAUACACAUCAAUAAUCUGUAUAUCAAAUAUACCUUUGUUCACUUUGCCAUCCUUCUUAUCCGCCAAAUACUUGGGGUAGUUCCGCUUCCAAUGACCAGUCCCUUUGCAGUAGAAGCACUCAGUUUCAGGCUUAGGUCCAGACUUGGGUUUUUCACCUGAGCAGCAACUUGCUUGCCGUUCUUCUUGAAGUUCCCCUUUCUUCCCUUUGUCCCUUUACUUGAAACUAGUGGUUUUGUUUACCAUCAACACUUGAUGCUUUUCUUGAUUUCUACCUUCAUCGAUUUCAGCAUCGCGAAGAGCUUGGGAAUCGUUUCCGUUAUCCCUUGCAUAUUAUAGUUCAUCAUGAAGUUCUACUAACUUGGUGAUGGUGACUAGAGAAUUCUGUCAAUCACUAUUUUAUCUGGAAUAUUAACUCCCACUUGAUUCAAGCAAUUGUAGUACUCAGACAAUCUGAGCACAUGCUCACUGGUUGAGCUAUUCUCCUCCAUCUUGUAGGCAAAGUACUGUCAGAGGUCUCAUACCUCUCGACAUGGGCAUGAGUAUGAAAUACCAAUUUCAACUCUUGGAACAUCUUAUAUGCUCCAUGGCGUUCAAAACGUCUUUAAAGCCCCGAUUCUAAGCCGUUAAGCAUGGUGCACUAAACUAUCAAGUAGUCAUCAUAUUGAGCUAGCCAAACGUUCAUAACGUCUGCAUCUGCUCCUGCAAUAGGUCAGUCACCUAGCGGUGCAUCAACGACAUAAUUCUUCUGUGCAACAAUGAGGAUAAACCUCAGAUCACGGACCCAGUCCGCAUCAUUGCUACUUUCAUCUUUCAACUUAGUUUUCCCUAGGAACAUAUCACAAAUAAAAUAGGGAAGCUAAACGAGAGCUAUUGAUCUACAACAUAGAUAUGCUAAUACUACCAGGACUAAGUUAAUGAUAAAUUUAAGUUCAAUUAAUCAUAUUACUUAAGAACUCCCACUUAGAUAGACAUCCCUCUAAUCAUCUAAGUGAUCACAUGAUCCAAAUCAACUAAACCAUAACCGAUCAUCACGUGAAAUGGAGUUGUUUUCAAUGGUGAACAUCACUAUGUUGAUCAUAUCUACUAUAUGAUUCACGCUCGACCUUUCGGUCUCCAGUGUUCCGAGGCCAUAUCUGCAUAUGCUAGGCUCGUCAAGUUUAACCCGAGUAUUCUGCGUGUGCAAAACUGGCUUGCACCGUUGUAGAUGGACGUAGAGCUUAUCACACCCGAUCAUCACGUGGUGUCUGGGCACGACGAACUUUGGCAACGGUGCAUACUCAGGGAGAACACUUUUAUCUUGAAAUUUAGUGAGAGGUCAUCUUAUAAUGCAAUCAAAAUAAGAUGUAUAAAAGAUAAACAUCACAUGCAAUCAAAAUCUGUGACAUGAUAUGGCCAUCAUCAUCUUGUGCCUUUGAUCUCUAUGUCCAAAGCAUCGUCAUGAUCUCCAUCGUCACCGGCAUGACACCAUGAUCUCCAUCAUCUUGAUCUAUAUCAAUGUGUCGUCACAUGGUCGUCUCGCCAACUAUUGCUCUUGCAACUAUUGCUAUCGCAUAGCGAUAAAGUAAAGCAAUUAUUUGGCACUUGCAUCUUAUGCAAUAAAGAGACAACCAUAAGGCUUUUGCCAAUUGCCGAUAACUUCAACAAAAGCAUGAUCAUCUCAUACAAAAACUUAUGUCUCAUCACGUCUUGACCAUAUCACAUCACAACAUGCCCUGCAAAAACAAGUUAGACGUCUUCUACUUUGUUGUUGCAAAUUUUACGUGGCUGCUACGGGCUUAGCAAGAACCGUUCUUACCUACGCAUCGAAAACCACAACGAUAGUUUGUCAAGUUAGUGUUGUUUUAACCUUCUCAAGGACCGGGCGUAGCCACACUCGAUUCAACUAAAGUUGGAGAAACUGACACCCGCUAGUCACCUGUGUGCAUAGCACGGCGGUAAAACCAGUCUCGUGUAAGCGUACGCAUAAUGUCGGUCCGGGCCGCUUCAUCCAACAAUACCGCUGAACCAAAGUGUGACAUGCUGCUAAGUAGUAUGACUUAUAUCGCCCGCAACUCACUUGUGUUCUACUCAUGCAUAUUACAUCAACGCAUAAAACCUGGCUCGGAUGCCACUGUUGGGGAACGUAGUAAUUUCAAAAAAAAUCCUACGCAUACGCAAGAUCAUGGUGAUGCAUAGCAACGAGAGGGGAGAGUGUUGUCCACGUACCCUCGUAGACCAAAAGCGGAAGCGUUAUGACAACGCGGUUGAUGUAGUCGUACGUCUUCACGGCCCGACCGAUCAAGCACCGAAACUACGGCACCUCCGAGUUCUAGCACACGUUCAGCUCGAUGACAAUCCCCGGACUCCGAUCCAGCAAAGUGUUAGGGAAGAGUUCUGUCAGCACGACGGCAUGGUGACGAUCUUGAUGUUCUACCAUCGCGGGGCUUCGCCUAAGCACCGCUACAAUAUUAUCGAGGAUUAUGGUGGAGGGGGGCACCGCACACGGCUAAGAGAACGAUCACGAAGAUCAACUUGUGUGUCUAGAGGUGCCCCCCUGCCCCCGUAUAUAAAGGAGCAAGGGGGGAGGCCGGUCGGCCCUUGGGGCACGCCAAGGAGGGGGGAGUCCUCCUCCUAGUAGGAGUAGGACUCCCCUUUCCUAGUCCAACUAGGAAGAGAAAAGGGGGAAGGAAAGAGAGGGAGAGGGAGAGGGAAAGAGGGGCCGCGCCCCCCUCCCCUAGUCCAAUUCGGACUCCUCAUGGGAGGGGGCGCGCCACCUCCUGGGCUGCUGCCCUCUCUCUCCCCUCAGGCCCACUAAGGCCCAAUACUUCCCCGGGGGUUUCCGGUAACCCUUCCGGCACUCCGGUUUUCUCCGAAAUCACCCGAAACACUUCCGGUGUCCGAAUAUAGCCGUCCAAUAUAUCAAUAUUUAUGUCUCGACCAUUUCGAGACUCCUCGUCAUGUCCGUGAUCACAUCCGGGACUCCGAACAACCUUCGGUACAUCAAAAUAUAUAAACUUAUAAUGAAACUGUCAUCGUAACGUUAAGCGUGCGGACCCUACGGGUUCGAGAACAAUGUAGACAUGACCGAGACAUGUCUCCGGUCAAUAACCAAUAGCGGAACCCGGAUGCUCAUAUUGGCUCCUACAUAUUCUACGAAGAUCUUUAUCGGUCAGACCGCAUAACAACAUAUGUUGUUCCCUUUGUCAUCGGUAUGUUACUUGCCCGAGAUUCGAUUGUCGGUAUCUCAAUACCUAGUUCAAUCUCGUUACUGGCAAGUCUCUUUACUCGUUCCGUAAUACAUCAUCUCGCAACUAACUCAUUAGUUGCAUUGCUUGCAAGGCUUAAGUGAUGUGCAUUACUGAGAGGGCCCAGAGAUACCUCUCCGACAAUCGGAGUGACAAAUCCUAAUCUCGAAAUACGCCAACCCAACAUGUACCUAUGGAGACACCUGUAGAGCACCUUUAUAAUCACCCAGUUAUGUUGUGACGUUUGGUAGCACACAAAGUGUUCCUCCGGCAAACGGGAGUUGCAUAAUAUCAUAGUCACAGGAACAUGUAUAAGUCAUGAAGAAAGUAAUAGCAACAUACUAAAUGAUCGGGUGCUAAGCUAAUGGAAUGGGUCAUGUCAAUCACAUCAUUCUCUAAUGAUGUGAUCUCGUUAGUCAAAUGACAACUCAUGUCUAUGGCUAGGAAACUUAACCAUCUUUUAUUCAAUGAGCUAGUCAAGUAGAGGCAUACUAGUGACAUACUGUUUGUCUAUGUAUUCACACAUGUAUUAUGUUUCUGGUUAAUACAAUUCUAGCAUGAAUAAUAAACAUUUAUCAUGGUAUAAGGAAAUAAAUAAUAACUUUAUUAUUGCCUCUAGGGCAUAUUUCCUUCACAUAUUGCAUUGGGAAAUGUGAUAUUACAAUAACUAGCUAAGUUACUACGACCAUCUUUCCCGCUCGGGCGACUCGGGCGGGAUCUAAAACCCUAGUCGUCGGGGGUCCCCAUCCGUCCUUCCCUCCCUCCGCCACCGCCGAAGGACGCCGCCGGCUACAGCCCGGGGCUGAUGGCGGUGGUGGGGGUCUUCCCUCUUGCCUGCGCCGUGCGGGCGGUGCGGAGCCCCGCGCGUGGGUGGCACAGCCAAUCUGGCCUGGCGGCGCGGCAGGCCUGCCUUCCGGUGGCGGCGUGGCGGCUGCCUCGGCCAAGGGCGGCGAUGGUGGGGUGCGGCAACCGGCCCUGCCUCGGGCUGCGUGGCGGCAUUCGGCGGCGGCGGUCGGUUUUGCGGCGACACAAUGUCUGACCUUGGAUCGGCGGUGGCGGUAUGGAGGGCCUGGUGGUUGGGUCGGCACCAUGCGGGUUCUGCCCUCCGGACAGAUCUGAUCUGGCCGGUGCGGCCUGCUCCAUGUGCGACGGCUUAGAUCGACAGCGACCCGUGCACACAGUACGUGAUGAAGGUUCUUCGAGCGGAUCCGGGUGAAAACCUUAUGCUCGGCCUGAUGCUAAGACUGGCAUUGGUGGCACCCUGUGGUGUCAUUACCUUCUUGAAGGCAUCGCCGUGGAGAAGCUCUAGACCUCUAUCCGCUACCUCCGGGGGAAACCCUAGAUCAGUUGAUGGGAUGACGGCGACGCGUUGGUGUCGUUUCUUCCUUGGGGGCAUCAUUCUUAGAGGCGUACACAGGUUCGAGGGACCAGCGGGCGCCUUUUUUGGUGGAGCGGUACUUCAUCCUUCACAUUGAUGACGGCGGAUCUCGGCGGCGUGGUGUAGUGGAGACUCGGCGCCCGAUGCGCGGUGAUGGACUCGCACAGGUGGAGGUAGUUGUCUGGCGUCAAGGUGGCGUCGAUGGCGGCGUGGCCUGACAAGGUAGAAGCCUCAAUAUCUGCUCUGAAGACGGACCUGUGGAAGAUGGCGGCGACGACACAUGUGAGUGCGUCAGACCAGUUUAUGCCCCAGACCCGGUAUGUGACUCGGCUGGGGUUUCUGGCUUUUGAUGAUAGGCUUAGGUGAGUAGACCGGGUAUUUGGCCCAGGUAGCACCCCUUCAUCAUAUGGAUAAGAGUAGUGACAUAUGUUGCCAAGAUGGCGGAUUCAGGCAUUUUGUUGUACUACUUUGUAAGGUACUCGUGAAUAAUCAAUAAAGUGGCCGUAUGCAUCUCCCAGAUGCAGAGGCCGGGGGCCAUCCUCCUUUUCUAAAAAAAAUCUAAGUUACUACAACUACCUCUCUCCUCAUUAACUCAUUGCCACAUAAGCAAAUUUGCUGAGUUGGACUCUAUGUUACUGCUGAAGUUACUACCACUGUGGCUAGUCUAACUGCAAGUUGGCCAGAGGUCACACGCAAUGCAGCGGACAGUCCAAGGAGAGUCAUGUGACCGGCACGGUUUUCCAUGACGCUGCUUUUAUUUUUAUUUUAUGUAUGUUUUGGUGAGGAGCAUGUGGCCGUUUGUAUCGUGUACCAUGUACUCCAGAUUUUAAGAAGCAUUCAAUCGUUGCAUGCAAGAUUAAGAAUUUUUUUUAUCAAUGAGCCUAGUCAUAGUGGGGAGUAACUUAGUGUUGGGGAACGUAGCAUAAAUUCAAAAAAUUUCUACGUGUCACCAAGAUCUAUCUAUGAAGAGACUAGCAACGAGGGAAGGAGAGUGCAUCUACAUACCCGUGUAGAUCGCUAAGCAGAAGCGUUCAAGAGAACGGGGUUGAUGGAGUCGUACUCGUCGUGAUCCAAAUCACCGGAGAUCCUAGUGUCGAACGGACGACACCUCCGCGUUCAACACACGUACAGCCCGAUGAUGUCUCCCAUGCCUUGAUCCAGCAAGGAGAGAGGGAGAGGUUGAGGAAGACUCCAUCCAGCAGCAGCACAACGGCGUGGUGGUGAUGGAGGAGCGUGGCAAUCCUGCAGGGCUUCGCCAAGCACCGCAGAAGAGGAGGAAGAGGUGUUGGAGAGGGAGAAGGAGGCAACCAAAGGCAUGGGUGAAAAGCCCUCCUUCCCCCACUAUAUAUAGGACGGCCNNNNNNNNNNNNNNNNNNNNNNNNNNNNNNNNNNNNNNNNNNNNNNNNNNNNNNNNNNNNNNNNNNNNNNNNNNNNNNNNNNNNNNNNNNNNNNNNNNNNNNNNNNNNNNNNNNNNNNNNNNNNNNNNNNNNNNNNNNNNNNNNNNNNNNNNNNNNNNNNNNNNNNNNNNNNNNNNNNNNNNNNNNNNNNNNNNNNNNNNNNNNNNNNNNNNNNNNNNNNNNNNNNNNNNNNNNNNNNNNNNNNNNNNCUUCCCCUUUCAAAACCCUAGGCGCAUGGGCCCCUUGGGGCUGGUGCCCUUGGCCCAUGUAGGCCAAGGUGCACCCCCUACAGCCCAUGUGGCCCCCCGGGGCAGGUGGACCCACCCGGUGGACCCCCGGGACCCUUUCGGUAGUCCCGGUACAAUACCGAUGACCCCGAAACUUGUCCCGAUGGCCGAAACAGGAUUUCCUAUAUAUAAAUCUUUACCUCCGGACCAUUCCGGAACUCCUCGUGACGUCCGGGAUCUCAUCCGGGACUCCGAACAACAUUCGAUAACCACAUACAAACUUCCUUUAUAACCCUAGCGUCAUCGAACCUUAAGUGUGUAGACCCUACGGGUUCGGGAGACAAGCAGACAUGACCGAGACGUUCUCCGGUCAAUAACCAACAGCGGGAUCUGGAUACCCAUGUUGGCUCCCACAUGCUCCACGAUGAUCUCAUCGGAUGAACCACGAUGUCAAGGACUUAAUCAAUCCUGUAUACAAUUCCCUUUGUCUAUCGGUACGACACUUGCCCGAGAUUCGAUCGUCGGUAUCCCGAUACCUUGUUCAAUCUCGUUACCGGCAAGUCUCUUUACUCGUUUCGUAACACAUCAUCCCGUGAUCAACUCCUUGAUCACAUUGUGCACAUUAUGAUGAUGUCCUACCGAGUGGGCCCAGAGAUACCUCUCCGUUUACACGGAGUGACAAAUCCCAGUCUCGAUUCGUGCCAACCCAACAGACACUUUAGGAGAUACCUGUAGUGUACCUUUAUAGCCACCCAGUUACGUUGUGACAUUUGGCACACCCAAAGCACUCCUACGGUAUCCGGGAGUUGCACAAUCUCAUGGUCUAAGGAAAUGAUACUUGACAUUAGAAAAGCUUUAGCAUACGAACUACAUGAUCUUGUGCUAGGCUUAGGAUUGGGUCUUGUCCAUCACAUCAUUCUCCUAAUGAUGUGAUCCCGUUAUCAACGACAUCCAAUGUCCAUGGUCAGAAAACCGUAACCAUCUAUUGAUCAACGAGCUAGUCAACUAGAGGCUUACUAGGGACAUGGUGUUGUCUAUGUAUCCACACAUGUAUCUGAGUUUCCUAUCAAUACAAUUAUAGCAUGGAUAAUAAACGAUUAUCAUGAACACGGAAAUAUAAUAAUAAUCAAUUUAUUAUUGCCUCUAGGGCAUAUUUCCAACAGUCCCCCACUUGCACUAGAGUCAAUAAUCUAGUUCACAUCGCCAUGUGAUUAACACUCACAGGUCGCAUCGCCAUGUGACCAACAUCCAAGAGUUUACUAGAGUCAAUAAUCUAGUUCACAUCACUAUGUGAUUAGCACUGAAUGAGUUCUGGGUUUGAUCAUGUUGCUUGUGAGAGAGGUUUUAGUCAACGGGUCUGAACCUUUCAGAUCCGUGUGUGCUUUACAAAUCUCUAUGUCAUCUCCUAGAUGUAGCUACCACGUUCUAUUUGGAGCUAUUCCAAAUAACUGUUCUACUUGGAGCUAUUCUAAAUUGUUGCUCCAUUAUACGUAUCCGGUAUCUCUACUCAGAGCUAUCCGGAUAGGUGUUAAGCUUGCAUCGACAUAACCCUUUACGACGAACUCUUUUACCACCUCCAUAAUCAAGAAAAUUCCUUAGUCCACUAGUUACUAAGGAUAACCUUGACCGUUGUCCUGUGAUCCAUUCUUGGAUCAUUCUUGUACCCCUUGACCGACUCAUGGCAAGGCACACUUCAGGUGCGGUACACAACAUAACAUACUGUAGAGCCUAUGUCUUAAGCAUAGGGGACGACCUUCGUCCUUUCUCUCUAUUCUGCCGUGGUCGAGCUUUAAGUCUUAACUUCAUACCUUACAACUCAGGCAAGAACUCCUUCUUUGACUAGUCCAUCUUGAACACCUUCAAGAUCAUGUCAAGGUAUGUGCUCAUUUGAAAGUACCAUUAAGUGUUUUGAUCUAUCCUUAUAGAUCUUGAUGCUCAAUGUUCAAGUAGCUUAAUCCAGGCUUUCCAUUGAAAAACACUUUCCAAAUAACCCUAUAUGCUUUCUAGAAAUUCUACGUCAUUCUGAUCAACAAUAUACUCAUCAGAAAUUCUAUAGUGCUCCCACUCACUUCUUUGGAAAUACAAGUUUCUCAUAAACUUUGUACAAACCCAAAAUCUUUGAUCAUCAUCAAAGCAUACAUUCCAACUCCGAGAUGCUUACUCCAGUCCUUAGAAGGAUUGCUGGAGCUUUGCAUACUUAUUAGCAUAUUUUAGGAUUGACAAAACCUUCCGGUUGUAUCACAUACAACCUUUCCUCAAAAAUCGUCGAAGAAACAAUGGUUUUUGGCAUCCUAUCUGCAAGAUUUCACAAAUAAUGCAGUAAUCGCUAAUAUAAUUCCAACAGACUCUUAGCAUCGCUACGAGUGAGAAAGUCUCAUCAUAGUCAACUCCUUGAACUUGUCGGGAAACAUCUUAACGACAAGUUGAGCUUUCUUAAUGGUGACAUUUACCAUCAUUGUCCGUCUUCCUUUUAAAAUCCAUCUGUACUCAAUAGCAUUACGACCAUCAAGUAGUUAUCCCAAAGUCUACACUUUGUUUUCAUAUAUGGAUCCUUUCUCGGAUUAUAUGGCCUCGAGCCAUUUUGGAAUCCAGGCCCACCAUCGCUUCUCCAUAGCUCAUAGGUUCAUUGUUGUCUAGCAACAUGACUUCCAAGACAGGAUUACGUACCACUCUGAAGUAGCACGCAUCCUUGUCAUCCUACGAGGUUUGGUAGUGACUUGAUCUGAAGUUUCAUGAUCACUAUCAUAAGCUUCCACUUCAAUUGGUGUAGGUGCCACAGGAACAACUUCCUAUGCCCUGCCACACACUAGUUGAAGAGACGGCUCAAUAACCUCAUCAUGUCUCCACCAUCCUCCCACUCAAUUCUUUCGAGAGAAACUUUUCCUCGAGAAAGGACCCGAUUCUAGAAACAAUCCCUUAUUUCUUUCGAAUCUGAGACAGGAGGUAUACCCAACUGUUUUGGGUGUCCUAUGAAGAUGCAUUUAUCCGCUUUGGGUUCGAGCUUAUCAGCCUAAAACUUUGUCGCAGCCCCAAACUUUUAAGAAAUGACAGCUUAGGUUUCUCUAAACCACGGUGUCAUCUCAUCGGAAUUACGUGGUGCCCUAUUUAAAGUAUAUGUGGUUGUCUCUAAUGCCUAACCCAUAAAUUAUUGUGGUAAUUCGAUAAGAGACAUCAUGGUAUGCAUUAUAUCCAAUAUGGUGCAGUUAUGAUGUUCGGACACACCAUCACACUAUGGUGUUCCAGGCUGUAUCAGUUGUGAAACAAUUUCCACAAUGUCUUAAUUCUGUGCCAAACUCGUAAUUCAGAUAUUCAUCUCUAUGAUCAUAUCAUAGAUAUUUUAUCCUCUUGUCACGAUGAUCUUUCAACUUCACCCUGAAAUUACUUGAACCUUUCAAUAAUUCAGACUCGUGAUUCAUCAAGUAAAUAUACUCAACAUCUACUCAAAUCAUCUGUGAAGUAAGAACAUAACAAUAUCCACUACACGCCUCAGCACUCAUUGGACUGCACACAUCAAAAUUUAUUACUUCCAACAAGUUGCUUUCUGGUUCCAUUUUACUGAAACCAAGGCUUUCAGUCAUCUUACCCAUGUGGUAUGAUUUGCAUGUCUCAAGUGAUUCAAAAUCAAGUGAGUCCAAUUGGUCCAUUUGCAUGGAGUUUCUUCAUGCAUAUACACCAAUAGACAUGGUUAGGAUGUCUCAAACUUUUCAAAAAUGAGUGAGUCCAAAGAUCCAUCAACAUGGAGCUUCUUCAUGCGUUUUGUACCGAUAUGACUUAUGUGGCAGUGCCACAAGUAGGUGGUACUAUCAUUACUAUCUUUGGCAUGAACAUGUGUAUCACUACGAUCGAGAUUCAAUAAACCAUUCAUUUUAGGUGUAAGACCAUUGUAGGUAUUAUUCAAAUAAACAGAGUAACCAUUAUUCUUCUUAAAUGAAUAACCGUAUUGCGAUAGUCAUAAUCCAAUCAUGUCUAUGCUCAACGCAAACACCAAUCUCGAUGGUAGAGGGAGCGUGCGAUGCUUGAUCAUAUCAACAUUGGAAACACUUCCAACACAUAUCGUCAGCUCACCUUUAGCUAGUCUCCGCUUAUUCCGUAGCUUUUAUUUCGAGUUACUAACACUUAGCAACCGAACCGGUAUCUAAUACCCUGGUGCUACUAGGAGUACUAGUAAAGUACACAUCAACACAAUGUAUAUCCAAUAUACUUCUAUUGACUUUGCCAGCCUUCUCAUCUACCAAGUAUCUAGGGUAAUUCUGCUCCAGUGGUUGUUCCUCUUAUUACAGAAGCACUUAGUCUCGGGUUUGGGUUUAACCUUGGGUUUCUUCACUAGAGCAGCAGCUGAAUUGCCGUUUCAUGAAGUAUCCCUUCGUGCCCUUGCCCUUCUUGAAACUAGUGGUUUCACCAACCAUCAACAAUUGAUGCUCCUUCUUGAUCUCUACUUUUGUGGUGUCAAACAUCGCGAAUAUCUCAAGGAUCAUCAUAUAUGUCCCUGAUAUAUUAUAGUUCAUCACGAAGCUCAAGCAGCUUGGUGGUAAUGACUUCGGAGAAACAUCACUAUCUCAUCUGGAAGAUCAACUCCCACUCAAUUCAAAUGAUUGUUGUACUCAGACAAUCUGAGCACAAGCACAACAAUUGAGCUUUUCUCCUUAGUUUGUAGGCUAAGAAAAUCGUCGGAGGUCUUAUACCUUUUGACGUGGGCACGAGCCUGAAAUCCCAAUUUCAGCCCUCAAAACAUCUCAUAUGUUUUGCGAUGUUUCAAAAACCGUCUUCGGUGCCUCAAUUCUAAACCGUUUAACUGAACUAUCAUGUAGUUAUCAAAAAUGUGUAUGUCAGAUGUUCGCAACAUCCACAGACAACGUUCGAGGUUCAGCACACUGAGCGGUGCAUUAAGGACAUAAGCCUUCUAUGAAGCAAUGAGGACAAUCCUCAGUUUACGGACCUAGUCCGCAUAAUUGCUACUAUCAACUUUCAACUAAAUUUUCUCUAGGAACAUAUCUAAACAGUAGAACUAAAGCGCGAGCUACGACAUAAUUUGUAAAGACCUUUUGACUAUGUUCAGGAUAAUUAAGUUCAUCUUAUGAACUUCCACUCAGAUAGACAUCCCUCUAGUCAUCUAAGUGAUUACAUGAUCCGAGUCAACUAGGCCGUGUCCGAUCAUCACGUGAGACGGACUAGUUAUCAUCGGUGAACAUCUUCAUGUUGAUCGUAUCUACCAUACGACUCAUGCUCAACCUUUCGGUCUUCUGUGUUUCGAGGCCAUGUCUAUGCACAUGCUAGGCUCGUCAAGUUAACCCUAAGUGUUUUGCAUGUGUAAAACUGUCUUACACCCGUUGUAUGUGAACGUAAGGAUCUAUCACACCCGAUCAUCACGUGGUGCUUCAAAACGACGAACUUUAGCAACGGUGCAUAGUUAGGGGAGAACACAUUCUUGAAAUUGUAAUGAGGGAUCAUCUUAUUUACUACCGUCGUUCUAAGCAAAUAAGAUGUAUAAACAUGAUAAACAUCACAUGCAAUCAAAUAAUAGUGACAUGAUAUGGCCAAUAUCAUAUAGCUCCUUUGAUCUCCAUCUUGGGGCUCCAUGAUCAUCAUCGUCACCGGCAUGACACCAUGAUCUCCAUCAUAGUGUCUUCUUGAAGUUGUCAUGUCAUCUAUUACUUCUACUACUACAGCUAACGGUUAGCAAUAAAGUAAAGUAAUUACAUGACGUUUAUGUUGACACACAAGUCAUAAAUAAAUUAAGACAACUCCUAUGGCUCCUGCCGGUUGUCAUACUCAUCGACAUGCAAGUCGUGAUUCCUAUUACAAGAACAUGAUCAAUCUCAUACAUCACAUAUAUCAUUCAUCACAUCCUUUGGCCAUAUCACAUCACAUAGCAUACCCUGCAAAAACAAGUUAGGCGUCCUCUAAUUGUUGUUUGCAUGUUUUACGUGGCUGCUAUGGGUUUCUAGCAAGAACGUUUCUUACCUACGCAAAGACCACAACGUGAUAUGCCAAUUGCUAUUUACCCUUCAUAAGGACCAUUUUCAUCGAAUCCGAUCCGACUAAAGUGGGAGAGACAGACACCCGCUAGCCACCUUAUGCAACUAGUGCAUGUCAGUCGGUGGAACCAGUCUCACGUAAGAGUACGUGUAAGGUCGGUUCGGGCCGCUUCAUCCCAUGAUGCCGCCGAAUCAAGAUAAGACUAGUAACGGCAAGCAUAUUGAACAAUAUCAAUGCCCACAGCUACUUUGUGUUCUACUCGUGCAUAGAAUCUACGCAUAGACCUAGCUCAUGAUGCCACUGUUGGGGAACGUAGCAUAAAUUCAAAAAAUUUCUACGUGUCACCGAGAUCUAUCUAUGGAGAGACUAGCAACAAGGGGAAGGAGAGUGCAUCUACAUACCCUUGUAGAUCGCUAAGCGGAAGCGUUCAAGAGAACGGGGUUGAUGGAGUCGUACUCGUCGUGAUCCAAAUCACCGGAGAUCCUAGUGUCGAACGGACGGCACCUCCGCGUUCAACACACGUACAGCCCGACGACGUCUCCCAUGCCUUGAUCCAGCAAGGAGAGAGGGAGAGGUUGAGGAAGACUCCAUCCAGCAGCAGCACAACGGCGUGGUGGUGAUGGAGGAGCGUGGCAAUCCUGCAGGGCUUCGCCAAGCACCGCAGAAGAGGAGGAAGAGGUGUUGGAGAGGGAGAAGGAGGCAACCAAAGGCAUGGGUGAAAAGCCCUCCUUCCCCCACUAUAUAUAGGAGGGCCAAGGGGGGGGGGCGCCGGCCCUAGGAGAUCCAAUCUCCUAGGGGGGGGGGCGGCCAGGGAGGUUUCCCUCCCCCCCAAGGCACCUAGGGGUGCCUUCCACUAGUGGGACUCUUCCCCUUUCAAAACCCUAGGCGCAUGGGCCCCUUGGGGCUGGUGCCCUUGGCCCAUGUAGGCCAAGGCGCACCCCCUACAGCCCUGUGGCCCCCCGGGGCAGGUGGACCCACCCGGUGGACCCUCGGGACCCUUCCGGUAGUCCCGGUACAAUACCGAUGACCCCGAAACUUGUCCCGAUGGCCGAAACAGGAUUUCCUAUAUAUAAAUCUUUACCUCUGGACCAUUCCGGAACUCCUCGUGACAUCUGGGAUCUCAUCCGGGACUCAGAACAACAUUCAAUAACCACAUACAAACUUCCUUUAUAACCCUAGCGUCAUCGAACCUUAAGUGUGUAGACCCUACGGGUUCGGGAGACAAGCAGACAUGACCGAGACGUUCUCCGGUCAAUAACCAACAGCGGGAUCUGGAUACCCGUGUUGGCUCCCACAUGCUCCACGAUGAUCUCAUCGAAUGAACCACGAUGUCAAGGACUUAAUCAAUCCCGUAUACAAUUCCCUUUGUCUAUCGGUACGACACUUGCCCGAGAUUCGAUCGUCGGUAUCCCGCUACCUUGUUCAAUCUCGUUACCAGCAAGUCUCUUUACUCGUUCCGUAACACAUCAUCCCGUGAUCAACUCCUUGAUCACAUUGUGCACAUUAUGAUGAUGUCCUACCGAGUGGGCCCAGAGAUACCUCUCCGUUUACACGGAGUGACAAAUCCCAGUCUCGAUUCGUGCCAACCCAACAGACACUUUAGGAGAUACCUGUAGUGUACCUUUAUAGCCACCCAGUUACGUUGUGACGUUUGGCACACCCAAAGCACUCCUACGGUAUCCGGGAGUUGCACAAUCUCAUGGUCUAAGGAAAUGAUACUUGACAUUAGAAAAGCUUUAGCAUACGAACUACAUGAUCUUGUGCUAGGCUUAGGAUUGGGUCUUGUCAUGUGAUCCCGUUAUCAACGACAUCCAAUGUCCAUGGUCAGAAAACCGUAACCAUCUAUUGAUCAACGAGCUAGUCAACUAGAGGCUUACUAGGGAUAUGGUGUUGUCUAUGUAUCCACACAUGUAUCUGAGUUUCCUAUCAAUACAAUUAUAGCAUGGAUAAUAAACGAUUAUCAUGAACAAGGAAAUAUAAUAAUAAUCAAUUUAUUAUUGCCUCUAGGGCAUAUUUCCAACACUUAGAUAUGUUACUACCUAUAUAGUGGGUAGUAACAUGUGUAUAUUAUCAUGCACCACUUUAUCAACUUUGUAGAGUCAUUUUGCAUUAGGAACCGCUAUGUGAUGGUAACAUAUUAUGUCACUCUAUUUGUCCCUCUCCUCAUUAAUUACUUGCGAUAUUACAUUUUUGCUUAUUUGGUAUGCAUGUUACUAUCUAUAUUACUCUCACUAUGACUAGCCUGAAUGUGAAUGUUUUUUGGUCAUUUAUUGGUGACACGUGUGUGCAUUACAAUUAACGCAUUGAUAAACACAUUUUUUUGAAAAAGUGAGUGCAUUAGUUGAGUAAUUUUUGUAAACUAUAAAAAAUAUUCCAUCACUCCUCAUCUAUUUCGGUUGGUAAGAUUUUUUUUAAUUGACCCUAUAAACCAGGAGAGAGGUUGUAUAUGAUAAGGGAGGGAGUAAGGACAUCUCCAAAAGGGCCCUCAAACAUCUUGCAAGCAUUCGUCGGAUGCAGUUUGCUAUCCAACGUAGUCUCGCAUCGAUUCGUCGGCAUGUUUAGACAUCUUUUUUCCCACAAAUCGGGAAAAAAAUAUAAAGAUUCUUUACAUGAGUCUGGAUAUCUUUCUGGUCAAUCAAAAGUCAUCAUAUAUGCCUCCGUUUGUCUGGGUGGCGGAAGGCCGCUGCUAAUUUCUUGCUGUUUGACGAAAGCUGCUACCCGGAAGCACUAAGUGUCUGUUUGUAACCUGUUUGGCAGAAGCCACUAAAUAGCUUACUUUAUUUGGCGGAAGGCACUUAAUUAAGUGCUUCCUUUGCUGGAAGGCAAGUAUAUUUUAGCAUAUUAAUUUGUCUUAAUACGAGGUGUUUGGCAGAAGACUAUUUUUUCAAGUCAAAUGGAGCCGGGCAUUUUGGCUAGCCUUGGAUGGCCAUCUUUUAUAUCAGUGUCAAUAUGAUGUUUUUCAUAGCGCCUACAACCAGGCUGCUAUGCUCGACAUGGUAGCGGCAUGAUUCAUGGCGCCGUGCCUGCGCCAUCAUGGAACAUUGGGCCUAGGUUACAUACUCCCUCUAUCCAUCACCUAAUGUGUUUUUCGAGCCUAACUUUCAUCACAUGUUAGAGCAAUAAUAUAUGGCAUGCAAGUUACACAAAGCGUACCAUCAAAUUUGUAUGUGAAAGGUGCUUCCAAUGAUAUAAUUUUUACAUUGUACAUCUCAUAUACUAUUAAUUUUAUCAAUAGUCAAAUGCAAUCUCGAAAAAUUUAUUAGGCCCUAUAUAUAUGGAUGGACGGAGUACCAUAUGUAGUGCCAUGUGUGGGGUGGUGUGCUUCACAACAUAUCGCCACUAGCUAGCGCUAUACUUCAUAAUACUUCAGACCAUAGUGUCCUAAUUGGUGGCGCUAUACUCAGAUAAGUUUGGCAAAAAAAAUUGACAGGUUCAUAAAUUAAAAAAAUCACAAUUAGAACAAGUUCACAAGAAGUCCAUAAUUACGACAAAUUCACAUCAAGUCCACAAUUACGACAAGACAAGUUCACAUCAUGUUUACAAAAUAGAAGCUAACUAAAGUGACAAGUUCAUCAAGUCCACAAUUACGACAAGUUCACAAGUAGAAGCUAACUAAAGUGACAAGUUCAACUAGAUCAACAAGUUCACAAAUACAUCUACUUCUUUCGCUUGCCUGCCUCACAUCCUUCUUCCUCUCGGAAUUAAUUAUCUGUUUGCAUUUCGUGCGUUAUUUUGUCGUGUCUAUGGAGUAUGGACAGGAACUUGACCUCGAUAGGUAUAAACAUAGAAGGCACCGGGAUUAAGGCAGCUAAUUAAGGAAGGGAGGGUCACUCAUGAAACAAAACUGAAUUUGAGAGCUGCCGUCUCGCAGUUUUCAAACUCAAAAACUGUCAAGUUCAUGGGAUUCAAGUAGAGUUAAUUGCACGCAGUAUUAACUUGGCCAUUGCGUGCCCACACAUACAUAGUUUCAGUGAUUAGCGUAGUUCAGCGCCUUGCACUUGUGUACUAGGCACUGGACAGCUUACCCAUGAGACAGAGAAUAUGCUAAUACUAAUUUGAACUAAAACCACGAUCGACAAGAAUUAUGGAGCGGAGGGAGUAGUAAGUUCCCAAAAUCACCAGCAUGACACAAGACAUGCCGAAAAUGAACUUAAUAUGCAGGGUUAGUUCCACGCCAACUAAUCUGUGAAGAAGAGCAGGUAAACAUGAUAAUCCUGAUUAACGGUUAUAUAUAGGCGUGCUGCUCUUGCUCUUGCUCUUGCUCUUGCUCUUGUCUAGAAUGUAGAAUUGCAGUUCUUCUCCUUCUUCCAAGUGCAAGGAGUUGAUAUGGGUGGUGUGUUCUUUAUAGUGCGAUCGAUUGUUUUCUCUCUGCUGUGUUGGAUGUGGGUGAGGAAAGCGGACAUGCUCGAUGGACCGACAAGGCGGCGAAGGAUGCAUAUCACACUGCUUGGGCUGCUCUGCUCCUGCUGUUUUGCUGUUUGCCAACACACAUUGUACUACUGUAUGUUUUCUGUCUACCGUCUUUCGGUGUUAAUGCGUCUCACACUGAAUGUCUUGACCCUUUGAUUUGGGGGUACAGGCUGAGACUGAAUCGCUUUUUAUCUACUGUCUCUCUGGUGUCCUGAAAUAGAUGCAGUCAAGGGAGAAAGAAAGGUGCUGUUUCUUUUCGCAGAGAUUGCUUUGCAAGGUGAAUUAGCUUCGUUCCACCCAAAAUUAUUCAUAUUAGUAUGCCCUUUGCAUGGAUGAGGGUUGCACCGCUAGUUCGCAGCCGUUGCCAAUUUAGUUUCUGAUGUGAGUUUCUCUUUGCUCACUGUUACUCCCUCCGUUCGAAAUUACUUGUCUCGGAAAUGGAUGUAUCUAGAACUAAAAUACAUCUAGAUACAUCCAUUUCUACGACAAGUAAUUCCGAACGGAGGGAGUACGUGGAAUACAUGCCCAAAAUGAACUUACACCUGCCACUAUCAAUCACUCAUGACUAUAAUUCAUUCUAAGCGACAAUUAAAAACAGAACAAGUCCAAAUGCUCACAGGCUUUCAGUGAUUAAACUUGUCUGGUUAAGUGGGAGCAAAUUCACUAAAUUUAGUCAGUUACAAACGGAAUACUACUUGACUAGUUAAAGUUUCGAGUUUUCAAAGACAAAACAUAGCAUCACCGAAAGCAAAUAAAACAUCAUACACUCUUCCUGCUUCGUCGUCGUAAAAGAUCAGAUCGGCGUGUCAGGUUGCAACAACAGAAAAUACACAUAUAGGCAGCUUUCACUCACGGUCUCCUUCCAUACAAGAACCGACGGCUCCAUGCCAAGAAACGAGGUUCCUACCAAACCUAGAACAAGCCUUGGGCCCAGCAGCAGCGAAAAGAUUAACCCAAAAAUCAGUAAUACACACAACACAACACAAGUGCCAAACACCACCAUUUUUUCUGGAUUCCAUAGAGGCCAGCGACCCUGGAUAGCGCGAGGAGCUGCUAGUCUUUUACAUGUUUUGGUUCAGGUAGGUGUUAGUCGCAACCAGACGAGCACAGCAGAAACACAACGCACGGUUGUUAGUUUUUAUGCCUGCCAAAAAACCUUAUAGAUACAAAAAGAUCGGAGUCCUCCCACACCGGCCGUCGACAGGCAUUUCACAGUUCGGUAUGAUUGCGUAAGGAUAAACUAUAGGAGCUAGUUUUAUUACCAGGUUGGACCCCAGGGCGCCUUGAGAGAGGGUCGCUGUGAGUAGGUACCUCACCCUCUAUGGUUGGAUGACAGCAAGCCCAUUUGUUCAGUGAGAUUUGCCAAGUUCUCGGUCCUGGUCCAUCCAUUCUCCUCUUGCGCUCCCCGUGUGUCCAGCAGACCUGAAUCGACCUCGUCAUUGUCGAUGGAGAGAGGGCUGGCACAAAGGAACUGCUCCCAGAAGGAAUCAAUUAUUCCCGGAAGCUUCUGGGUGUCAUCGGUCUCAUCAGUGUCGAUGGGGUCCAUGGGAACAGAGUCAUCACUGCCUUCAUCAGGUAGGGGGAAUAUACACUCAGGACCAGGCAUUGUGAAGUUCUCUACAGGAAUAUUAAUUGCAUCCUCCGUUAUGAGAUCAUGCAGAUCUGGGAAUCCUGGAAUACUGAUAUCACUUAAACCUGGCGUCAUAGCCUUUGGCACCGAAGGCACAGCACUCAUGUUGGGAAGUUGUGUCGAUGAGUUGGUGUCCAGAACUGGACGCUGCAUCUCAGGGGGGCUUGACGAUGAACAAAUUGCUGAAAGCCCAGAGCUCGUGGGCAUAUAUGGCAUGCCCGAGUUGCCUGGGACCUCUGCAAGGGUGACUGCAGAAUUCCGGGUUGAUGAAGAGCUGUCAAAAGUUUGAGCACUUGGCAUACAGUUCUCCAGUAGCAAAUUAUCUGAAUUGGCCAUGGAUUCAAAUCUGUGUGGGGAGGUAUCCUGCUGCAGGAUCUUCCUCAGCAUUGCUUUGGCUGCUUCGUUGAUCAUAGGCUGAUACUUGAUUAUCUGGCCAUCCAACAAUGCACUUUCGGAGUUCAGGCCAUCAUCUUGCUUAGGUAGCCUCCUUUUCUUGUUCGCAGCUACUAUUCUCCGUUUGCUGUUUUCAUUCUGCUGUACAAACUGUGCUAGGAAGCCAGGACUCUGCAUUGCUUUAGCCAGGAAAGACAUCAUUUGCUGCUGUCGUUGCUCCAUUCCGUGAAGACGCUUGCCCAAAGUCUGCAGCUGAUGGUCAGUGGUCUGCUGUUGCUGUCUCAGCCUGACAAGCUCCUGCAUUAGAACAUUUUUAUCCCUCUUUAGCAUCUCAAUCUCUUCCUCCAUCCCAAACUUCCCCACCUCUACACAAGAAGGCAUUGGAGCAUUCUGCAACUGGGGUUGCUGCUGCUGCUGCUGCUGCUGGGGUUGCUGCUGUUGCACUUGCACUUGGUUGUUUGCAUGCGAUGGUUUCCUUCUGUUGAUGGUCUUCAGUAGAUGUUUUUGUCCUCUCAAAAAACCCUCAUUUGCAAAUUCCCACUUGUCUGGAUCAACUUUUCUGAAUCCCUGUUUCCAAAAGCAGCAAUGCAAUUAUUAGAAAGGGGCUAAUGUGCUUUGAAUGGUCGGCAACUUUGUAGCACGAAAAGGGGAAAUAGAGAACAAUCACACUAGCAAUGCAACCCAAACAAUCCUAACAGUCUAUGACUCACCUAAAAGAGUCUGCAACUCAAGGAAACAGCUAAUUGACCACAAUACAGAAGGGCAUGAAUUUACCACAGGUUGCAUUACUAGUCAUUUGUGUAAGAAUUAAAUAGUUAAAAAUGAUAACAGGCUCAGGUGAACUGAAGAUAAGCAAAUAUCCAACUAUAUAGUAGUAGUCAGUAAGUCCUAAUAUCCCGUUAUCCAAGAGCCCCGCAAUUUGCUGCUGUUAUUAGAUUUUUUGCAAAUGUAAAUUCAACUUAGAGAUGACCCAGGUCAAUGACUGGGAAUCGCAUAUGCAUUCACCAGUGAAGGAGUGUAACCACAUCCAGAUAAACAAGCAUCAGAAUGGUAUGGAACGGCAGACGACCAGGUACAGACAGUCUAUCUGGAACAAAUAAUUCUUCACAAGGUAUAAACGGUAAUCGCUUUAAACUGAGGUGAUGGUUCAGAAAGCAAACAAAAAAACAACAGGCAAAGGAACAAAUCCAGUGUAUUGUGUACUGCUACUUUCUGAAUAAUUUCUAAAAGUGCGUGUGAAAAGUGUAUGUGAUUGUAACAAGUUGUGCUAACAAGCAUGUCGUCAGAUCUGAUAACAUACCUCGUAAUUCCCAAUGCAAAUAUCAAUUCAUAAAGCGUGCUGUUUCAUGCUAUAUCCCAAGCUCAAGAAGUUGGGGAGAUUGCACAACGGUAUUUAAUGAGAUGAUCAUAUGCAUGCGAGGUUUAGUUAGAAUUUAUUAUCAAAUGCUAGGGAUCACUUUAAAGGCAAUCAUAAUGUUACUGUGUGAGGGAACUGUUUCCAGGCAUCUGAGCUUGGGCAGCACCUGAGAAGUACGUACUUCUUUAGAUGCCACGAAGGGAUUAUAUUGGUUCUCAAGCAGAACAUAUCUAUUCGCAGCACAAGAAGCAUACUUGACCAAACUGCGACCACGGUAAGUUAAAAUUAAAACCUUACAAAUCAAAUCUAAGAAUUAAAAGUACAACACGCACUGGGAUCAAACUGUGAUGUAUGUAAUAUUCUAGCACAAGAAGCAUAUUAAACUAUUCCAAAACAGAGUUAUGGCAAUUUCAAGAAAUAGGCCAUGAUGUACAGAAAAUGGGGAGGGAGGCUAGCCAGAUCUAUAAGCUUAAUUAUGCCAACUGGUGGUACACCUUUGGCCAGAAAUCAAAGCAACUGAUGGUUCAAAAUUUCAAGUACACUUGCAGCACAUGCUAACAUGCCUAAACAUUGGAGACUACAAACUAAACGAAGCUACGUUUUAAACAAGAAGGGUUUAUUGGUAGGACUGGUUCAAUUUCACAUACAGCAAGAAACCCAAGACUCCAGAAAAGGGCCACAAUACUAUAUGCAAGACAACAUAUGCAUUUGCAUGUGAGGUUUUGUUAAAAUUUAUUAUCAAAUGCUUGGGGUCACUUUAAAGGCAAUCACAAUGUAAUUGUGUGAGAAAACUGUUUCCAGGCAUCUGAGCUUGGGCAGCACCUGAGAAGUAGUACUUCUUAGAUGUCACAAAGGGACCAAACUGGCUCUGGAGUAUACAUUCGCAGCAUUUUGUCAAUUAUAAUAUUAUUUUUUAAAGUUAAAAUAAAAUCUUACAAAUUAAUCGAAGACUUAAAGGUAUGACACACACUGGGACCAAACUGUGAUGUAUCUAAUAUUCUAGCACAAGAAGCAAAUUAAACUAUUCGGAAACAGAGUUAAGGCGGUUUCAAGAAAUAGGCCAUGAUGUACAGAAAAUGGGGAGGGAAGCUUAGCCAGAUCUAUGCGUUUAUUUAUGCCAACUGGUGGUGCUCCUUUGGCCAGAAAUCAAAGCUCUCGACGGUUCAAGCUUUCAGAGUGGUCAAGUACACUUGCAGCACAUGGUCACAUGCCUAAACAUCGGAUUCUACAAACUAAACACAACUAAGCUAUGUUUUAAACCAAGAAGGGUUUAUUGGCAGGAUGGGUUCAAUUUCACAUACAAAUCCCAAGACUACAGUAAAUGGCUGCAAUAUUAUAUGCAAGAGCAUGAAGGUAUCCAUGAUUUCAGUACCAUCAAGUAGACCUCUGUCUAAGAAAUUACCAACAUAUGCGUUUUCGUCUUGCUUAAAACAAGCAACCUGUCGCCAGCUGACACACUCACAUGGCAACAGUAUUAAACCUGACUAACUCUAUGUUCUUCAAGUUAAUAAGAAAGCAGUAUUCCAGAGAUAGAGUUUCAUCGGUGCCCUACACUUCCUGAUCUUCCUGACUGCUUUUCCCAGUAGGAUUGUCCAAAUGAACAACAGAUUAGCAAUUUGGUUCAUACUCCUAAAUGGCUGCACACACAGAAACUACGGCAGCAUGUGGCAUUCAGGAUCAAAGGGUCGGUGGCGCUCCUCUGGCAAUAAAGCAAAGCCCUCGACGGUUGAAAUUUUUAGAGUGGUCAAGUACACACACUUGCAGCAAGGCUCACAUGCCUAAACAUUGAUGUCUACAAACUAGACUCAAGUGAGCUAUGUUUUACCCCAAGAAGGGUUUAUUGGCAGGACGUUUUUUAUCUCGUGCACUACGGGGAAAAAUCCCAAGACUCAAGUAAAUGGCUGCAAUACUAUAUGCAAGACCACGCAGAUCUGUAAUUUGAGUGCAUCAAGUAGACCUCUGUCUAAGAAAUGCAUUUUGUUCUUACGUAAGCUUGAAACAGGCAACCUUUCACUUGCUGUCACUCACAUGACAAGAGUAUUAAAUCUGACUGACUCUUCUCUAUGUUCUUUAAGUUAAUAAUAUAAGAAAGCAGUAUUCCAGAGAUAGAAUUCAUCACAGUGACCCUGCGCUACCUGGUCUUCCUGACUGCCGGGAGGUAGGCUUUGUCCAAACCCACAAUAGACUAGUAAUUUGGUUAAGGUUUGAAAACGGCUGCGUAUGCAGAAACUACACGGCAGCAGGUGGCAUUCAGGAUCAAAGGGUCGGUGGAGCUCCUUUGGCCAGAAAUCAAGAAAUCUUUAGAGUGGUCUAGUACACACACUUGCAGCACAGGCUCACAUGCCUAAACAUUGGAGUCUACAAGAUAAACUCAACAAAGCUACUCCCUUCAUCCCAUAAUAUAAGAUGUUUCUGCAAGCUGUUUUAGCUUGCAAAAACGCCUUAUAUUGUGGGACGCAGGGAGUAUCUUAAUCCCCAGAAGGGUUUAUUGGUAGGAUGGUUCGAUUUCACCUAGAACGAGGAAAAUCCCUAGAAUCCUGUAAAGGGCUGCAAUACUAUAUGCAAGAGCAUGCAGAUAUCCAUGAUUUCAGUGCCUCGAGUAGACCUCUGUCUAAGAGAGUACCUGGGUGAUACGCACUUUGUUCAUACAUAAGCUUAAAACAAGCAACCUGUCACCUGCUGUUACACUCACAUGACAACAGUAUUAAGCCUGACCAACUCCUUUCUAUGUUCUUUAAGUUAGUAUAAGGCAGAGGUAUUCCAGAGAUAGAAUUUCAUCAGUGACCCUAUAGCUUCCUGGUCCUCAUGAAUGCCUCCUGGUAGGAUGUCCAAAAUAACAACAGACUAGAAAUUUGGUUAAGAUUCAAAAAUGGCUGAGUAUGCAGAAACUACGGCAGCAGGUGGCAUUCAGGAUCAAAAGCCAAAAGGUUGGUGGUUCUACUCUGGCCAAAAAUCAAAGCACUGGACGGUUAAUUUUUUUAGAGUGCUGAAGUACACAAUUGCAGCACAGGCUCACAUGCCUAAACAUUGGGGCCUACAAACUACACUCAACAGAGCUAUGUUUCGAACCAAGAAGGGCUUAUUGGCAGGACGGUUUUAACCUCACAUACUACGAGGAAAAUUCAAAGACUAAAGCAAACUACUGAAAUACUACAUGCAAGACCACACAGAUAUCCGUGAUUCCGCUACCUCAAAUAGAUCCCUGUCUAAGAAAGCGCCAACAUAUGCAUCUCGUUCUUACCUACAUACGCUCGAAACAAGCAACAUGCCACUUGCUGUCACUCUCACAGAACAAUUUUUAGAGUGGCCAAGCACACACACUUGCAGCACAGGCUCACAAACCUAAAUAAACUCCGUUCCGAAUUACUUGUCGCAAGUAUGGAUGUAUCUAGAUACAUCCAUUUUUGCAACGAGUAAUUUGGAACGGAGGGAGUAGAAACUAAAUUCAACUGAGCUACUUUAUGUUUUAAACCAAGAAGGGCUUAUUGGCAGGACGGUUUUAACCUCAAACACUAGGAGAAAAAAUUCCAGGACUCGAGUAAACUGCAGCAAUACUAUAUGCAAGAUCACGUGGGUACCCGUGAUUUCAGUACCUCAAGUAGGCCUCUGUCCAAUAAAUUGCCAAGAUAUGCAAGAAACUUGUUCUUGCAUAAGCUGGAAGCAAGCAACAUGUCACUUGCUGUCACAAUCACAGAACAAGAGUAAUAAACCUGACCAAGUCCUCCUCUCUAUGUUGUUUAAGUCAAGAAAGCAGCAGUGAUAAACCUGACUAACUCCUGUCUAAGUUCUUGAAGUCAAGAAAGCUGUAUCCUCAAUCUGGCUCAAGUUGUAAAUCAGCAGGGCACUCACAAACUAGAAACUACAGGUUGGGGAUCAGAUCAGCUCAGGCAUGCACGGGUACACUAGAACCAAAAUCCCCCAAAUUUUAAGCGCCGUGGAUAGCAGAGAGACCCCAAGAAGAUGGAAUCAAAGCGGGGCUGGAGCGAGCAGGGGAGAGGGAGGGCGCGCACGUAGGUGUUGAGCUGCCUGACGAAGGAGGAGAAGUUGUUGUGCUUGAAGUACUUGGGGAGGAGGUCCCGGGCGAACUCGGGCGUGUUCCAGACGAUGAAGCUGUUGUUGGCCGGCCCCCACGACACCACGGCGUCCGUGGCCGGGUCGUCCACCAUGUCGUACGUCUUCAUCAGGAACGGCGGCGGCGCGCCCGCCCCCGCCCCCGCCGCCCCAGGAGGCGCCACCGCCGUCGUCACCGUCGACGCCGCCGCCGCCGCAGCCACCGCAGCAGCAACCCCGCCGUCCAUCGCCGUCCCUCGAUCCGUACGGCCCCGGCCCCGACCUCGGAGCUCAGCCGCGCCGCCGCGCGGGAACACAACCAGCCGGACUCGAGGGAGCUCCACCGAUUCGAGCAGGGGGAGUGGGGGAUUUGGGGGCGGGGAUUGAUUCUAGGUCUUGGGGAGGAGGUGAAAGGUGGGGUCUUUUCCUUUGAAGGAGGGAGGGAGGAGGAG